CUAUCUUUUUCUCUCUUUAUCUUGAUCCUUUAUUUCAAGUUUUUAGAAAUUUGCUUUUGGAUUUAUCAUUAUUCCCAUGGGUAUCCCAGUAAAUAGAAUUUAAUCUUCCGAAUCAAAAGGCUUGGUGUUUGUUUUGGUGAAAUUUGCAAACAUGUUAAUUAUUCAAACACCUUGCCUGAAAAUCCUUGGAGAAAUCCCAUGUAAUAUGUGAUAUUUGGGUCAAAAUAUGUUCAUAUAUGUAUUCCUUUUUUGUAGGACCUUGUGACCCCUCAUUAAAAUGAAUCAGAUGACACUUUGUCUAUGAUGAUACAAUAAAUCCCCAUCCACAGGUUGCAUAAGUUUUGCUCACAUGCUGCUUCUAAUGCAGUGAUGCUCUUAUCAUUCAAUGCCAUAGGAUGGAUCUUGUCUAUGUGUGUCCCAAGUACUAGGGUUUGGCACUGAUCGUAGCCGGACUUUAUUUAUAUGUUAGAUCCAUCUGCAGUGAGUGAUUUAGUGCGGUGGAGAAGUGUUCUACAUGUGUUACUGCUUUGUUUAUCAAUUUUCACGGUUAAAGCUCUUGUUGUACAGGAUCCCUUUACCUAACUGGGUUGUGGAAGAGAUCAACAAAGAUCCGGACCUUGCAUACACUGAUCAAUGGGGGAGGAGAAAUUAUGAAUAUGUGUCCCUUGGGUCUGAUACUCUUCCAGUCCUCAAGGGGCGAACACCCGUCCAGUGUUAUGCUGACUUCAUGCGUGCAUUCAAGGACAACUUCAAGCAUCUUCUUGGUGACACCAUUGUGGUAAUUACCUAUCCCUAUCCCUAUGAUUCUCAUAAGUUUAAUGCAAUUAGUACAAGCACAAAGGCUUGUACAAAUUGUGUGCAAGCCCUGCCUAGGUGGUCAAGAGUUUGGCAGUCAGGGCCCAAUUGUUUAGUUUGAAUACAAAAAUUACAGCAGGUUUCAGUGGCUGGUUCAAACUCCUUUAAACUCUAUAGUAUGUGAUGGAAGUGAUCACUAAUCAUCUUAAGAAUUUGUCUCAUUCAGGAAAUCCAGGUGGGGAUGGGACCAGCAGGUGAGUUCCGCUACCCUUCAUAUCCAGAGCAAGAUGGGACAUGGAAAUUCCCAGGCAUUGGAGCCUUCCAGUGUUAUGACAAGGUAUUUCUCUUGUUCUUUUUUCCUUUUUUUUUUCUUCUGAUGAUAUUGCUAAGGCUAAUAAGAUGCAGUUUCCAGUACUUAAAUUGUGCUACACUAUGAAUUUAGCCCAAAAGUAUUAGGUAAUCAGCCCACAAUGUAUAUUGGUUAACAUUCCCCUCAUGAUGCAACCACAUAUCCACACAGGGAGAGGUAAAAUCAAGAUUAUAGAUUAUUACAGAUAUAUAGAUGGGGGAAUCAAUCAAUACUUGAACUCAGUAUCUCUGGUCAAUGCUUAGAUUACCAUAUUAAGCUACAAAUCUGACUUAAAAGGUUUAAACUAUUAACUAAUGGACUCACAAUCUAUACUAUAUGAACACAUUCUCUACAAAUAUGGUGCAGUAUAUGCUCAGUAGCUUGAAAGCUGCUGCAGAAGCUGCUGGCAAACCAGAAUGGGGUAGCACCGGUCCCACAGAUGCUGGCCACUACAACAACUGGCCAGAAGAUGCACGGUUUUUCCGCCGAGAAGGAGGGGGUUGGACCAGUCCUUAUGGUGAAUUCUUUCUUAACUGGUAUUCUCAGAUGCUUCUAGACCAUGGUGAGAGAAUACUGUCAUCAGCCAAGUCCAUCUUUCAGGACAUGGGAGUUAAGAUCUCAGUCAAGGUUUCAGGUAUUCACUGGCACUAUGGGACACAGUCCCAUGCUCCAGAGCUCACGGCAGGGUACUAUAACACACGGUUCCGAGAUGGAUACAUUCCUAUUGCUCAAAUGUUAGCACGCCAUGGUGCCAUACUCAACUUCACCUGCAUAGAGAUGCGUGAUCAUGAGCAGCCACAGGAUGCUCUUUGUGCACCCGAGAAGCUUGUGAGGCAAGUUGCUUUAGCAACUCGGGAAGCUCAAGUCCCACUUGCUGGGGAAAAUGCAUUGCCUCGAUAUGAUGAGACUGCACAUGAGCAGAUAUUGGGAGCAUCAUCCUUGAAUAUUGACGGUGAAGAAAGUGAUAUGUGUGCUUUUACAUACUUGAGAAUGAAUCCAGACUUGUUCCAGCCAGACAACUGGAGAAGGUUUGUUGCAUUUGUGAAAAAGAUGAAGGAAGGGAAGGAUUCACACAAGUGUCGGGAACUAGUGGAGCGGGAAGCAGAGCACUCUGUACAUGUGACUCGGCCACUGGUUCAGGAGGCUGCUGUUGCUCUUAUGCACUGAAAGCUCAAGCUAGGUUUUCUUCUGUGCCUGCUUGGACAGUCUUCUUGUUGCAAAGUGUUGUGUAUGCAACACAAAUAUUUGGAUUCCUUGCCACUUUUCACACUUUCCUAACAUUGUUGUUGUGGAAAUGGGCAAUUUGCAAUUUUAUUAUAUAGAUAUGGGCAUCAGCUGUUUUAAUGCCUGAGCCCUUUUCCUGUGCUGGAUAUGAUGAUAAUAUAAACUAGAUUUCUCUCUUCUCCUCAAAUCAUCUGUUUACUGUUUACUACCAUUUCCUCAACUUGGCAGGAAUUGUUACUUUUGGAGAUGCCGACCCAUUGUGGAGAUACUGGGGCAGAUUUCAUAUCUUGUUGCAGUCAGUAUAAGACAAAUUUAUAUCUCAAGGAUCAUAAUAAUUAAUUGCGACAUCUUAGCGUUGGUUUUUAUUGAAAGCCAACUUUAAUGGCCAGGCGAAGCAGAGGGGACUUCUAUUUUCUAAAUGAUUUUAUUCCCAUUACAAUUUUAGAGGUAUUCUGAAUUGAUAAACUUUAGUGCUCGGAAAAAUUGUUUGGAAAAUUUGAUAGAAAAUGUGAGUGGAAUAAAAUAAAAAUAAAAUUGAAAAAAUUAAUAAAAAAAAAAGUAAAAAAUUUAAAAUUAAUAAAUUAUUUUUAUGUAAUACUAAAAAAAUUAUUUGAUUAAAUAAUUUUAAAAUAUAUAAUAUUUUUAUUAAUUUUAAUUAUAUUUCAUCCUCUUCUAUUUUUUAUAGUAAAAUCAAAUAUAUAAAAAUAUUUUUCUUUUUUCACUUAUUUGGUUCUUCCAUAUAAAAUUUAUAUAAUUUAAAAAUAUAUUUUUUUAUUAAUUUUAAUUAUAUUUUACUUUUUUCUUAUUUUUUAUGAUAAAAUUAAGUAUAAAAAAUUGAUUUUUUUUUAUUUAUUUAAGAUUAAAUAACUUAAAAAUAUAUAAUUUUUUUAUUAAUUUUAAUUAUAUUUAAUUUUCAAAAUGAAAUAUAAGAAAAUCAUUAUUCAAACAAUUUUUCGUGGUUAGUAUUUAUUAGAAAUAAAACAUACCAUAAAAGGAUGCAUCACCAUCACCCGUACCUUCUUUUGGCUCCAGCCUUCAGCCUUUAAGAACCACUCGUCAGUUUAACGGUGCGCCACCCUUGGUUAUUUCAUGGUCCAAAUUUUCCCAAGUGUCCCUACCUGUACCUCUCAUAGAGUUAAUAUUUCAACAGAACUGAACUGAGAAGCCCCUAGCAUUAUCAUUUGACAUAUAAAGUGCACCAAAGCAAAUGCUUCAAAGUCCUGUAAAAAUCAAAUAUCAAUAUAAACAGAUGACCUUCUAUCCUAAAUGUGCCCCAUACCUAACAGAAAUGGACGCCCAUAUAAGAGCCCCUAGUCAGAUUCAGUUACCCAAUGCCCUCUUCAAAUGCAGCAAUUCUCGCUCCAAACCUCCACUUGACUGACACAUGCCCACUUGUCUCCCUUUCAAGAACCCAUAAAAUACUAUAUAUACAUAUCUCCAUAAAGACACCAUUUUCAGAUCUAAUCAAGAAACAAGUCCUAUCCUAGCAAUCAUCUGACAAAACAUGUCCAAUCCACAGCGACAGUGGACGCCCGCCCAUGCCCCCAAUCAAGCCCAGGUAUGCUAGUUGACGGAGAUGGGUUCCACAUUCAUUUACCAUUUGUAACUUUGCUUGUAUCAUUUCUUUUUAUUCACAUUUUCACGUGUAAUGUGAGGAGGCUGGCGCAGAGGGGAUGACCCAAUCGUCUGUAAGUUCAGGAAAUUCAGCCCAGUCCAUAAGGGAGUCUUCCCAACAAGCGGACCAGCCUCAAGGGUUCCUCGAACAGGUUCUCUUUUAGCCUAUAUAACCUUAGUCUAGGCAGUUCAUUUGUAUUAAAUUCAAUGUUGAAAUGGAAUUUAAUUUUACUUUGUUAUCAUGUUCCAUGAUGAUGAUGUUACAGACAGCAGGACAAGUGAUGGAUAUGGCUCACGGGGCAGGGAAAAGGGUGAUGAACGUGGCUCAAGGGGCAGGUGAGACGGUGAUGAAUGUGGCUCAAGGUACAGGACAGACCGUCAUGAGCGCGGCUCAUGGUGCGAGGGAGACCGUCAAGAAAUCGCUUGGAGCUGAUGACAAGGGAAAUUGAAAUUCCUCUGUGUUUUCCUUUCUUUUCCAAAUAAUUUCAACACCCAAAUUGAAGGGUUCUUGCAAAUUUUAUUUAUUUAUUUAUUUUUCUGAAGUUUAAUUUUGUAUCGAUUGUUUUAUUAAUAUUUGAUAAUAAAAAAAAAUUUUAUUGAGACGCUAUGAAUUUAUUUUUGAGAUGUAUCGAUUGGAAAAUAAAUUUUAUUUUUGAGCUUUUUGUACUUUAACAUUUAAAAUAUAAAAUAAGUGUACACAAAUAACAUCAUUAAUAUUGAAAAAUAUAAAAUAAAAAUACAAAUGUUAUAUAUUAAAAUUUAUUAUUUUCUACUUAAUACUCUUAUUUACAUGAAAUUAAAAAAUAUAUAUAUUGAUAAUAAUAUAUAUUUAAACUUAAUGGUAUAGUAUUAUUUCAAUAAAGAUAAAUUUUAAAAAAAUAAUUAUAAAUUAAUAAUUUAUUUAUUAAUAAAUUAAUAAUCUUAAAAUAAUAAAGAUAAAUUAAAAAUAAAAUGAAAAAAAAUGUAGAAAUAUGAAGCACAAAUGUGGUUUCAUUUUUUAAUUUUUUUGCCCUAUUGAAUUUAACACUUUUGAACUUUUUGUACUUUUUAAUUUCACAUUUUUGCAAGUCUUUUUAUAUAUUUUUUAUUUUGUCUUACUUAUUCAUAUAAUUUAUUAAUUUAAGAUUGUUAAACUUAUUGAUAAAUUAAAUAUUAAUUUAUUAAUAUUUUUACAACUAUAUCUUAUUAAAAUAAUAGUACUCUUAGGUUUCCACAUAUAGAUUUUUAUUAUUUUGAAGUAUAUGUUUUUAAUUUCACGUUAAAAGAACCAUUAUUUAUACACUCACAACAUAUAUGCCUUGAAGAUACAUUUUGAAAUUAGUUAAUGAAAUUAAUUUGAAAAGUUUAUUGCAAAAUUUAAUUUUUACUAGCUUCAUUAAAGUAAAAAAAAAAACCACCAAAUAUUUAUAUAGUGGGAAAAAAAAGUAAAUAAUCACACAUGCCUCAACAAGGAGAGAAUCUAUGUAUAACUAAGACUUUCUUCCUUUUUGGUCACUCAUCGAUCUCUAAUCGUAGCAAUUAGCAAACCUACAUAUGACAUGCGAUGAACAUCUAACUAUGAUGGAAUCGAAAAUAGAGGUAGUGGAGGUAGCAUUCUACGUCAACAUUGGCCAUGCCUACCUCCCAAAUGCUUAGGGGUAAAUCUAACUGGGUAGAUAUGAGUCUUUACAGAUAUAAAAACAAAUAUAGAUGGGUCUAGUGGUGGUAGAUAUUUGUGCUAAGGGUAUGAGUGAUGUUAAAACUCGGGUCCUAAUGGAGUAGUUAAGGAAGCAUCAAGGUACAAUGAAAGGUGGUUGACAUAUGAGGUAGCGAUUACUGAAGGUGGUAUAAAGAGAUUAUACGUACUAACAGUGCAUCUAAAGAGGUAGGGUUUUGUACUGAUGUUGGGUCUGAAGAGAUAGGUGAUUGUAUUGAUCAUAGGUCUAAAGAGGUGGGGGGUCGUAAUGAUGUUAGGUUUGACAAAAUGAUAGGUUAACAAUUAAUAUAUCUACCUCACCCUUGAGAUGUCCAUUAACCUCAAACGAGUGGCAAUCAAGCAACUAUGGACUAUGCUAGUGGCCUACCUCCUUCUAUCUCCUCCAUGUUAUAUAUGUGGAAGACAAUACUUCUUUUGAAUUAUUCACAUAACAUCAAUGCACCUGUGAGUAAUAUCAACAAUACCAGUGUGACAAGUAUUACUAUCAAAGUCCUUUAAUGUUUGACCUCCUUGAGAUAUGAUGAUGUCAUUGUUAAAGAUAAAACUUUUAAAAGUAUAACAUGAUGUAAUAAAUUUUGGAUUUUAUUAUUUAUUAAUAAAAUUUAUAUUUUCACUUUUAUCUAUUCUUAUUCAAUGCAUUAACUUUGUAAGCAUUUUAGCCUACACCUCUUAUAUUGUGUGUGACUUGGGUACAUUAGGAGUAAAGAUAAAAAUAUUGGUAAUCACGGAUAUAUCAGUACUUCAAUUUUACGAAUAUAUGAUAUAUAGAAGAUAUAUCGAUAAAUAUUUUGAAUUUUUUUUUUGAUAAGCUUAAAAUUGAUUAGAACUUAUGAAAAUAUUGAGAAAAACUCUAAAAAUGAUAUGAUAAACAAUAAUAGACAUUUUAUUAUAAAAAAAAAUAUGAUAUAUGUAUAUGUGUAGACCCCUCCUUGCAAGACCAAGGGGAUUAUUUUUAUUUUGGCUGCCACCACCCGAGAGAAGGGUGUUUUUGUUUUUUUGGUAGGAUGGGGGGACCCCUUUUCUAAAGAGGGAACAACUUCAUAGACACGGCAAGAGACGUGGGCAGCGAGGAGAGUGGUUGCAAGCCCAUGCUUGCUGACGUGAUGAACAGGAAAUGGAGGGUUGGCUUGCUGAAGAAGACACCAACAGAGGAAUGAAAAGGGGGUUUUGGGAGCUCGGGAGAGGGACGCAGGCUAGAGGAGUUUCUUUUUCUCGGAGAGGAGGCUAAACAGAGGUGGAGGUUUUGUGAGAUCCAAAUAUUUUUGCUCGAGGGAGCAUCCAGGUAAGCUCAUCAUGUAUCCUUUGCUUUAUUUUUUUACCACUACUGUUUUCUCUUUCUCCUAGAGUUGUUCGAGUUCCGCUUUUAUGCUUGUUUAGGAAUAACAAGAUUUAUAUCUGAGUAACAUCAAUUUCUGGUUUCUUCAUAUGCUUGCUGAUCGUUUCAUUCAUGAUCCCUCUUAGUAUUGGUUUUAACCUGGAGAAGUUUUGUUGCUUCAUUUUGCUCUAUGUGGAGAUGUUAAUUGUUGUUGUCUCGUUUGAACUGUUUUGCUACCCGCCACCACCUUUUCUCACUCCUUGUGCGCAUGAAACCCACUGCCCGUUUCCCCAUUGCCAUCCACCAUACCCAUCAACCUAUCCCUCAUGCAUUCCCAUUGCUCUCAUACCCAUCCAUAGCUCUCAUACACACCUCCAUUUCUUCUUGAACGUCACCAAACCCAUUCCCUCUCACUAUUCGAUGCAUAUUCCCCCCAUGCAUGUCGCCACCUUUCUCUCUCUACACCAUGUUCUUCAUGCCCACUUCCUAUCCACAUGCAUGAAGCCAUGCAUGGAACCAUGCAUGCCACCACCCUUCUAUGCCCACCUUACCCAUGCAUGUCGCCACCUUUCUCUCACUAGCUCGUUCCAUGUCACUCAUCCCAUGCAUGCACCCAUAGCCAUCAAACCCAUUGUUUCAUACCCAUUUUCCUUCCCAUCACCCUUUCUCUCACUAGCUCGUUCCAUAUCACUCAUCCCAUGCAUGCACCCAUAGCCAUCACCCCUCAUACCCAUGCAAACCAUCCCUUUUCAUACCCGGCUGCCCACCAUACCCAUGCCAUGCUCAUCCCCAUAGGAAUCCCAAAGCCACCCACCUACAUGCAUGGGAAUCGUGCAUGCAUGGCCACCCCCCAUGGUUGCCAUUCAUCAACACAUACCCAUGCUAACCUCCAUACCCGUAUCCUCCAUGCCCUCAUGUAUAUCACCACCCUCCCAUGCAUAACUAUCCUCCACUUACCCAUUUUUCUUCUUCUUACCACCUUUCUCUCUCUACACCACAUACCCUUCAUGCACUGUUUUCUCUCUCUACACCACCACCACUACCAACCCUCAUUUUCUCACUAACUCACUCACUUUCUACUCCCUACCCGGUUAUCUCUCUACACCACAUACCCAUUUUCCAAAUACCCAUCAACCCACCUUUGCAUGGCCACCUUUCUUGGCCCACUUCCAAAGCCCACUAAACUUAUUUUCUUGCACGAUGGAUUGGAGAACCCCAAGGCCCAUGAGUGCAUUUUGAAGGCCUUUCUCCAUUUUAGGGUCAUCUCAAAGUGCAUUUUGAAGCCCAGGCCCAUGAGCAUCAUUUUAAAUUUUCUCUCCACCUUGGCCCAUUCCUAAAUGCUCCCAUUUGCUUGGUUAUCACCCUUGGCCCAUUUCCAAAGCCCUCAAAUUUUAAAAGUUGAUUUAUGGAAAUCUAGCACCCAAAUAAUUUUAUCUUACAAAUUUUCAUCUUUAAAUAAUCCUUUAAAAAUUCCGAUUUCCAAAUUAAAUUCCCAAUCUCUGAAAUUCCAAUUUUCCAAUUUCCAAAUUUAAUUUCCAAUUUCAAAAAAUUCACUAUUUACGUUCAUCUAUUUAAUUAUUGUUUUCAUUAUUAUUAUUAUUAUUAUUCCACUUAUUUAUUUAUUUAUUUAUUUAUUGUUAUUAAUGUUAUUAUCAUCAUCAUUUUAGUUAUUUAUCUUUAGAAAAAUUCCACCUUCAAAUAAUUUCCAAAAUUCCAAUUUAUGUAAUUUAAUUUUCAUGAUUUCUAAUUCUUAAAUAAUUUCCAAUUCUAAUUUCUUUCAAAAUUUAAUUUCUAAAGUCCCAAUUUUCAUAAUUUAACUUUCAUAGUUUCUACUUCCCAAAUAAUUUUCAAAAUUAUGUUUUCAUUCGAAUUUAAUCCCUAAAAUUCCAAUUCUUAAAUUUAAUUUCCAAAACUCCAAUUUCCAAAUAAUUUUCGAUACUCCAAUUUUCAAACAAAUUUCAAAAAUCCAGUCUUCACUCGAACAGUUUUAAUUUCAUUCCGGUUUUCAAAUAAUCUCAUGUUCCUCUUGGUUUUAUAUAAGCGUGAAUGUCACUUUCAUAAUUUCAGAAUAAUGGAAUUUGUGAGAUUAAUUCAUGCAAGAUCGAUCGGGCUUUGGUGGGGGCCCUACAUACAUGAUUUUAUGAUUGAUUGAUUUGUUUGUCACGCACGAUUGAUUUAUUCCACUCUAUGACAUGCAUGUGAUUAUUCUGUGUUUAAUUGCUAACAUUCGCUUUCAUUGAAGUAAACCGGUUCAUCACUCAGGUACAUUCUUUGUCUCUCCUAUUCAUUCAGUUAUUUUUGUUUUGAGUGAUAUUCAUUUGGUAUCCAUGCUCGAAUUAUUUCUUAAUUGUGCAUUAACCUCACUUUUUGAUAAGCUUAUUGUGGCUCGUCGCCCAGGUACAUAUCUAUUCCCAUUCUGGUAUUUCUAUAUGCAUGCUUUGAUUCUCACGUGUGCAUGAUUUAUUCUGGGUACUCAUUGAUCUACUCGUCCACUGCCAUGAUUGUUUCAUUUUAUUAGUAGAGACCCGACUUUAGGGACUUAGAGGGAUGCUACGGUCUUUACCGUACCUUCCUGAUAAGUAACCUGACCCCCGAACCCGAUCCGGUUUUUCGUAGAUCACCUUUUCCAAAAUAAGGAGUCACACUUAGGAUUUUUCUUUCUUAUUUUGUUUACCAUUUUAAAAAUAAAACAAAAAUAAGUGGCGACUCCAAGUCAUUUUUCUUAAUCAAAUAAAAAUCAAGCUCGCCAUCAAGUGGGAAAUGCAUGAGCCGAAAAUGCGGGGUCCACAAUAUGAUAUAAUUAAUCAUAUUUGAUAAUAAUAUUGUAUGCAUCGAUAAAAAAUAUGAAUUUUAUAAAUAUAUAUUUCUUAUUAAAUUACAUCAAAUAUUAUUUAACAAUAAUACUGUGAUAUUUGAUUAUAACAUAUCUAAUUUUAAAAAUUAUAAUCUAUUUAAUUUCAAUUGUAUCAAAUGAUAUAAUAUAAAUGAUGAUAUAUGUAUAAAUUUUUUUAAUAUUUAUAUAUUUUUUAUAUUUAAUUAAUAUAUAAAGGAUAUAAAAAAACUGUUAAGAAAAUUAUAAGAUAGUUUUUAUAUUUUUAGUAAUCAAUUAAAUGAAAUUUAAGAAUAAAAUAAUUAGAAUUAUUUGUUUAUUAAAAUAUUAUUUUAAUAUUUUGUUUUAUGAUGGUUUUACUAUAUAUUUAUCUUGUGCCCUUAAUUUAACAAAUGGCAAGUUAGCCUAGUGGUCAAUCAAGGCUAUUUGUUUGGUUUUGAGUCCCAACGCCUAUGCCACAAUUUAAGAUUUUUGAGGGUUUGACCAUGCAUUGACCAAACCAUCUGCGUGUUGACCAAAUCGGUAAAAAUCUUAUUUAUCAUCAAUAUCUCGGGCAAAACACGUCUAUUUUUUAUUUUUAUUUUUGGAAAUUUCACCUAUUUGACAUUUUGCCACCCUAUUUUGUUUCCACGACCACUGAAACACAAUAUUUCGAUGAAAUUUCAUCGAAAUUUUUGGAAAUUUUCAUCAUUGAUUAAGAGUAAUACAAAAAAUCUGAGUUACAGAUUCCUUAUAAUUGGAUGACUUGUUCACAACCAAUUUAUGGGUUUAACCAACCCAUUAAAGGUUGUAGUACACUACUUCCUAAUAGGAGGGAUAGUCUUGACUAUUAAGAUGAUGUUCCCAUAAUAAGUGCAUUAGUAUGUAUGAUUACACAUUGAACAAAACUUAUGAUGAGUCAUGACAUAAGACUAUCAAGUAAUCAUGACUUGACCAAGUUAUUUCAUUGUGUUGUCUCUCAGCCUUGAGACAAUAUUGAGUUUGUGUCAAAGUUAGCAAUGACUUUGACUUAUGAAUGAGAUCAUAAAGUAAUUAUAUAUCCUAUAAACUGGGUCAUUAUUAAUGGAAAGUGGUAACAAUAAGUAUUUUCAAUAGAGACACCAUGAUAUCUUAUGGAAUUGAGAUAGUGUUUUUCUUUGGUGUUCCUAAUGAGGUGUGUUUAUAAAAAUUAUGGUCAUAACAGUUCUUUAAGUGGAACUUGACAUAAGCUCUUGCAAAGCUAAAAUAUGUAAAUUGGUCACAAAAAAUGAGGAUCUAAAACUGAAGGAUAGUUGAGGUAGUCUUGAGAGGUUGAUAAUAUCUUUCACCUCAUUGACUACAAACACCAAUUCAUGGAGAGAUUGUAUGUAACAAAUAGUAUGUUACAGACUUGAGCAUUUAGUAUUUCAUUAUAAUAUACAUAGGAUAUUGGAGUCCAUAUGCCAGAAUGAAAAUGAGUCAUAGAGAUUUGGUUUUGAAAAUCUUGUUUAAGAAUUAGGCAUUUGUUUCAAUAAUAAGAAAGUCCAAGGGAUGAAGUAUUCCUAGACAAGGAAGACUUUUAACUUGUUAUUUGACUAUUUUGACUAUGUUUGUAUGAGUUUGAGUCCAAGGGUUGGGAUCUUUCUUAAGCCUAAGAUACAAAAGUUUAAUGAUUGUCCUAAGGUUGAGAUAGAAGUCUAACACAUAGUUACGACUUCUUAAAAAUCUUUGAAGUUGAUUUUUAUCUUUGAUCUCAUCAUGAAAUUUAUUUGCAAAUUCGAUUGACCUUUGAAUGGGUUUUAUCAUUCCUGGGAGUAUUUCAAAUCCUAAGAAUCUCAUCUUGGUUUGAAAUAACUUGAUUUUAAAGGCAAAUACAACCAAACCAUUUUCUUUGAUAGCCCUUUAGAAUAUGUUUAAAUGUUUGAAGUGAUAUUUAAUAGAAUUUGAAAAUAUAAGCACAUCAUCAAUAUAUACUAUAGAAAAGUUAGUAUAAGGAUUGAAGAUGUCAUUCAUUAUAUUUUGAAACUUUGAAUGAGCAUUCUUCAAAUCGAAUGACAUCACAUUUCAUUCAUAAUUCCUAAAUGGAAUAGUGAAUAUUGUUUUAUAUUUGUUUUUUUUUUCAUGAAAUUGGAUUUGCUAAAAUCCUGACUUCAUAUCAAAUUUUGAAAAGAUUGAAGAAUCUUUUCCUGCAUAUUUGGCAAGGGAAUUCAAAGUCAAAUGGUGGUCAAACUUUGUUCCAUCCACCACUCCACAACUCCCUCACAUAAAAAAUUGGAUUACUGUUAAAUUCUCUACAAUUGUUCAAACUUCUUUUCAAAUGCCCUCAAUCAUUCUAGAAUCCUUCCCCCAUUCUCAAAAAUCCUUUUUCUAUUAGUAAAGAUUUCAAAAAUCAUUUUAAAAUGCUUCAACAAAAAGCUACUGAAACAUUGUCUUAACUCAGCUCAGACUCCAAAGAUGAUACCUCUUCAAGCUUCAAAGAAAAUCAAAAUGAAGAUAUGUGUUAUGGAUUGCCAUACACACCUUUGGAGUAAAGGUUUCAAUAAAAUUCAAACAGUUUUCGAACUCCUUCAAAGACGAGAACUUGGCGCUCACAUUAAAUGAAGGCUCUCCUGUGCUACUCUUUACCUUAUGUUCCAAUUAGUCAGGUUCAAGAGUUGGAUCUCCAAAUUACUACAAUCUAUCUAGAAGAUGGACAUCUCAGCUCUCUUUUAGAAGAUCGAACUUCAAAAUCCAUAUUUUUAUAAGAUGUUAAUAUAUUAUAUAUUUAUAAUAUUUAUAAAAUCAUAUGAAUAGCAUUGGAAAUUUAUUAAUUUUGAAUUAUUAUUAUUAUUAUUAUUAUUUAUUUUUAACAAAAUAAAUCAAUUAAUGUUAAUAUAUAUAUUUUAUAGUAUUUAUAAAGAUAUAAUUUAUGAUUUUAUUAUAUUACUAAAAUUCAAAAUUUAUUUAUUUUGAAUUUAUUUGUAAUUAAAAAAUUAUUUUUAUUUUAAAUAAGACAUCAAUUAAAUUUAGUUUACAUUAUAUAAAUUGAAUUUACAAUUUGUGUUUUAAAAAAAAUAAAAAAAUAAAAAAUUAUUUUUAAAAACAAUUUAUAUAAAAAAGUCUUUAAUUUUUAAAUUUUUGAAAAAUAUUUUUAAUAAUAAAGUGUAUCAGGAAAUCAAAAUACCUCCUAUUUGAAAUAAAUUAAAAUCUCACUUAUAAGUAAAAUUUCAUUUUCAUUAUAAUAUUUCAUUUCAGAAUUACAAAUAUGUCUUUUAUGUGGUAAUUUGGUUGGGAUUAUGCUUUGAUAUUCCCAAAGUGGUAUCAUUUGGUAUAAAACUUAAAUUAAUGGCGGGUGAGAUAAAAAUACUUUUUUUUUUUUGUCUUUUUCUCAUUUUCUUUAUUAUUAUUUUUCUUUCAACUUACUCUUUUACCUUGAUAAUAUUAUUAAUUAUUACUAUGAUUAAAACUUUUUAGUAUAUUCUACCAUAAUCAUGAGGUCUAUGUUAUAUAUAUUAUUAUUUUUAAUAUGAAAAUUUAAAUAACCUUUUUAAAUUUCUCCUUUUUAAUAUAUAUGAAAUUAGAAUAAAAUUACUUCUCAUAAAAUUAAAUUAUAAAAAUUUGUAAUAUUAAUUUAUUCAUAUUAUAUCAUUUAAUAUAAUUAAAAAUGUUAAAAAACAAAAAAUUGAAAACAAUAAAAAAGAAUUGAACCAAACAUGAUAGGAUUUGAUUGAGCAAGUAUACGAAUUUCUUAAAUCUACUCAUCUUGUCCUAUUUAUUUAUUUAAUUUUUUGGUAUGGGUUUGAAUAAUAUGGUCAAGCUAGAUGACUCAUAUUGAAUUUACUCCAUUAUCAUCCUAUCAAGUGUGAUAUAAUGAUAAUAAUAAUAAUAAUAAUAAUAAUAAUAAUAAUAAUAAUAAUAAUAAUAAACAUUGUUAUAUUAAAGUUAUUAACAAGAAUAGUAAUAGAAUAUUUAGGUGAAAUUAAUAAUAAUAAAAAUAUUGACAAGAUAAUAAUAUUUUUAUUGAAUAGAAAAAUUAAAAUAUUUGUUAUUUAUGUUGAAUAGAAAAAAUUAAAUAUUUUGAUUUUUUUUUAUUGAGACAAGAAAUUAUAUAAAAUUGAAGGGGCAUGAAAUCAUAUUUAUGAUUUUCUUUGUAAAAAACUUUUUCAUCUCAAAAAUAUUUUUAAGUGGUUCUAAAGGUAGAAACGCUUUUGAAAAUCACUGCCGCUCUAUAAUCCAACAUAGUGAGAAUUCUAAGUGAACGGGUAAGAGAAGCAGGGUCAGACCCGAACCCGAUGCACAAUCUAGAAGUGACCGUUGGGAAAAUUGGCUCCUCUUCUUUCUGACUCCAGGGCCGCCUUCUCCUCCUAACCCAUCAUUCAUUCACUCAUCGUUCUCUCUCUACCCUCCCAUCCCCACCACCUCCUAAAAUUACAGAGCUACCACUGCCUCACACUUCCAUGGCCACUCUCCUACCUCUCCAAUUCCGAAACUGCCCCUCCCCUCCUCCACCCAAACUCCACCGCAGUCACCACCUCCAUGCCCCUACUCUCGCUCUGCGCUCCAAGUCCCGCCUCCUCUCCUCCAUUUCUUGGAAGCUUAGGGUUUUCAGCUCCAUUUAUUGCCUUUGCAAGUCCAAUUCUGAUGUCCAAAGUGUUUCGGGUCAGGAUGAGCUCCAACGCCCUCCCUUCGAUAUCAAUCUCGCUGUCGUCCUGGCCGGUUUCGCCUUCGAAGCCUAUUCCAGCCCACCUGUAAGAAGCCCUUUCUUGGACCCCUGUUUGGUUAAGCAGAAGAGAAAUAUAAGUGAAAAGUUCAAGCCAAUUAUUUGUAGUGGCCAUGUUAAAAUGAUCAACUCUGUUUUUUUUUUUUCCUCCACUCUUUCUGACUGAUCAAACAGGAUGUAGGGCUCUGUUUGGUUGGUGAGAGAAUGGACGAAAAGAAAAGAAUGUGAAAGCCACGCCUUUUGUGUUUUACUUGUUAUCUUGGUUCCUGGAAACGGAAGAGUUCGUUAAUGAUUGGUUGAUUGGGAUUUGGAGGUUUCUUUUCUUGAUUCCCCAGAUAGCGAAAAAACCUACCGCAAUGUUUAUUUAAUUUUUAAUGUAUUUUCCUUGGCAACCACAAGGAGCAGUCAAUUUUUCAUUUUGAAUUAAUUCCAUUUUUAAUUGUUUUGAUUUUUAUUGACUUUGCUUUGGUCAGGAAAAUGUUGGGAGGCGUGAGGUGGAUGCAGCGGAUUGUACGACGGUGUUUCUUUCAGAGUAUGCCAUCUACCUUUUAGCAUUGGCACUCGUAAUUUUGUUGUAUAUGCGUGCGUAUGAAUUUAAUUGUUGUUCUUUUCUCAUACCAAAAUAGAAUUACCUAUUUUUCUACAAAUCUAUAAAGCAGUCGUGACUGGAGUCUGAAGUCAUUGAAAUUUUUUUAAUUUGCUUCUGUGUCCACUUCCCAAAAUUUCAUGUCUAAGGGUGGUUUGCCUCAUGUAAUUUCUUUGACUGAUUACUAACUUCUCCAUGGAGUUCAAAUAUUCUAUAUAUGUUGUUGUUACAUGUCAUGUCUUCCAUCAUAUUCGACUCAACAAGGUCUUAAUAAAAACUAGUUGGAGUGACUGUUGACUGCUUGUUCUCAUUCAGCUCUACCUACAGUUGGUUCUCCACUAAAUCAUUUUCAACAAUGUAUUUAUGUACUUCAAAGUCAUGGUGAAUUUGACCUUCCUCUUGUCUUUGUGUUUAAACUUGAAUCAAACCACUUUUUGAACUUGUCCAUGCAUUGAACUUUGACUUGACCUGAUCACCUUAGAAGAUUUCCCUUCAUCUCAUCCUCACGUGCAGUACCUGCAUCCUUUUCUUAUUCUAUUUUUUCUUGCAAUGGUGCUCAUCCAUCCUAACAUCUUCCCUUUAACAACACUUGUUUUUGUAAAUGUAUCUUAUUGCUCAACAAGUCAACAUUGUGUAGUAUAAAGCUGAGUUGAUCUUUACCUUCUAAGAUUUUCCCUUUUUGAUCUCUACUGUGCCUUAAGUAAUUGAUGCUGCUUACCAACAGUUGACGCUAAUGCUAGGCUUUUUAGGAUAAAUUAAGGUCUAGGAAGCUCUUUGAAGUUUGGAAGUUAGUUAUUUCUACACUUCUUUGUGGACCUCAUGCAUUUACUAGUACCCCUUUGAACUUGUUAGUGCUAGUUUGAAGGUACAUUUGUAAAUUAGAGAAGUUAGGCGGAGAGAUUGGACAUAAGUAGUUUUCAUCUUCUUUGGACUUUUUAAAUUUUAAUUUUGAUGGAUGUUCUUAGUAACCCAAGAUACAGUGCUUGUAACAUUAAAAUGUAGAUUCAAAUUGGAAGAGUGUCUUGAGAUCAUUGAGGUACAGUGCUUGCAACAUUAAAAUGUAGAUUCAAGUUCUUUUUAGCCAAGUUUGGGAUUGAUGUUAAGGUUCUUAUAAUUACUUUUCUAAUAAUUUUUGUAUCACUAAUCUAUUUGGUAAAGUAAAUUAAAAAAUGAUUCUUAAAGAAGCUGACCAACUUUGGUAGCAAUUUGAGACAUAGGUAGAAGGUGACUUUUCAAAAGUGAUUUUCCAAUAAUCAAGGUUUUUAAUCUUACAUUACCUAUUAUACCUUCAAAUCAUUUCCUUUUACAAUUUCUUUAUAUGUUUUUUUCCUCUCUCAUUCUCUACUCUAAAACCUUAUCAAAUUUAUAUCUUAUACCACUCUUUGUAAAAUGUAAAAGAAAAAAAAUUAUAAAUAUGUUAUUUGAAUUUAGUUAAAAUAGAAAAAUGAAUGUAUUCAUUUUAAAAAAUAAAAAUAAAAAUAAAUUGAUUUUUAAAUAAUAAAAUGAUCUAUUUGAUUAAAUAUUGAUUUUUAUAUCAUAAUAAAAGAAAUUGUUUAAAUUUUGACUUUCUUAUUUUGGUCAUAAUGCAUGUUCACAAUAAUUUAAUAAUCUAAUUUAUCAAGCACUUAGAUGUUAAUUUUGAAACUUAUAAUACUUUUUGAAAUCUUUGUUUAUCAAGACUCAAUUAUUUUUCAUCAAAACUAAUUUUUCUUUUGUAUAGAUAACAAUGAUUUUCUCAAAAGUCGUAGCAAUACCAAACUAGCCCUUAAAGGGUUAGUUGCAAGUCAAAACUUUGAGAUUUUUAGAUAUAUAAGUUGAGGGUAACUUAACCAUUAUCACUUUGUUGAACCAUUAUCACUUUGUUAAACUAAAUUUUGAUGGGUUCUUUGAGUAACUUAAGGUGGCUAGGGAUUGAAAGGUUGCUUAGGAACCAAUUUGGCAUAGUGUGGUAAGAGCAUUUUUCAAACUUGUAUGUCAAGGUUUAGCCAUUGAGGUAGAGAUUCUAACCCUUUUCGAAGGGUUGUUCAAACCAAAAUCUUUAAACCUCUCCAAUCUCCUAGUAGAAGGAGAUUAUGCUACUUUCAUAUCAUGGACGAUUAAUAAAGAAAGAGAACCCUCUAAGUUGGAUGAGUUGUUGUGUCAAAUUAUUGAUAUUUCUUUAGAGUUGCAAUGCCUCUUCCCUUGAUAUGCUAACUUACACAAUCAUGUGAUAGAUGUGUUAGUAAAGCAUGGAGCUAGGUUUCCUUUUGUAUUUCAAUGCAAUGAAAUGAGGCCUAUGGAGGUAUGAUAGGUGGAUUUGAUAAAUUAUUGAUGUUAUGAGUGACUCGAGAUGUGUUUUCCUUGGUUUCCAUUUGUUGUUAACCAAAAAGUAGAUUAUUUAGCCAAACAAGGGGCUAGACAAUUAGAUCAUUUUUUUGGUUCCCUUGAGAUGUGUUGUGCUCUUGGGUUGUACAUUAUUUUGGUUUCCUUUAAAAGAUAUAUAGUUUGUUUUGCUUUCUUUUUGAAAGAUAUGCAUAUUUUCUUUCCUUUUCUUCAUUUUGUUUUUUUUUUUUUUUUGUAAUUCGUGGGAAGAUUUCUCAUCCAUUGUUGUGUUCAUCGUACUUAAUGCAAUGAAUUAUCUUAUAUUUUUUAUUAAACAAGAGUUCAAAUCAAAAGUAAGGAAUUGUUAGACACAAGAGAGAGUUAGAGCUAGGGGUGACAAACUUGAUAUGACUUAUCCAACACAACUCUAAAAUGACAUAAAGUGAAUUGGUUUGGGAUUGGACAUUAUCGUGUAUUUGUUACAAUUGUGUUGACUUCUAUAACAUGUUUAACAAAUGAGUCAUAUUCAAAUUUGAAAGUGCAACAUGUUUGACCAUCAGUUAAUAGAGUUAACAGUGUAAAAACAAAAUGAUUAAAAUCUAAGCUAUUUAUACCUGUUUAACUUAUAUAAAUUUACUAAUUUUUUAUAUUUUAAAAAUUGUAGAGUAAAAGAAAUACUUUAUAUUUAUACUAUAGUUAUAAAAAAAUUAAAUAAUUAAACUAAUUGAAAUAAAGUUUUAUACAUUUAGAAAAUUAUGAAGGUUAAAAAUAUUUUAUAAUAAAAAAAUUAAAUAAGACUAUUAGAUAAGAAUAAAAUGGAAAUUUUAUUUAUCUUUUAUUUUAUAAAUAUAUUAUAAUUAAAAAUUAAUACCUAAACUAAUUAACAUUUAAAUAAAUUUAUUAUUUAAAAUAAUAAGAAAUAAAAUUUAAAUUAAUCAAAAUAGUAUUUUAAAAAUAACAUUUUAUUCAUUUAAGAUCUUAAAUAACUUAAAUGGGUUAAAAUCAUGUUAAUGAGUUUAACAUGUUAGAAUCCUGUCAAUGGGCCAUUUAUAUUAAUCUAGAAUAAUCCAACAAAAACUAUUUAUUAAACUAGUUGCAUGCAAUGAUGAAAAUAUCGGUAAUCACGGAUAUGUUGGUACUUUGAUUUUACGGAUAUAUUGGAGAUAAAUCAGCGGAUAUUUUGGAAAAAAAUAUCGAUAAACUUAAAAUUGACCAAAAUUUAUAAAAAUAUAAAAAAGAACUUCAUAAAAAUGUAAUUAGAAGUAUAAUGAUAUUUUUAAGUUGUUUUAUUAAAUAAUUUGAUAUAUGUAUAAUAUGAUUUAUUAUAUUUGAUAAUAAUAUUGUAUGCAUCUAUAAAAAUAUGAAUUUUAUAAGUGUACAUUUAUUAUUAAAUUACAUAUAAUAUUAUGAUAUUUGAUUAUAAUAUGUAUAAUUUUAAAAUAUAUAUUAAUAUUAAAAUUAUGAUCCAUUUAAUUCAAAUGUAUUAAAUAAUAUAAAAUAAAUUAUGAUAUAUGUACAAUUUUUUAAUAUUUAAUUAAUUAUUAAUGAUAUUAAAAACACUAUCAAGAAAAUUAUAUAAUUUUUAUAUUUUUGGUAAUCAAUUAAAAGAAAAUUUUGCAUUUAAUUAUAAAAUAAUUAUAAUUAAUUUGCUCUUAAAUUUUUUUUUUUAAUAUUUUCUUUAUAUAAUGAGUUUAACUAUAUAUAGGUUUAGUGCAUAUUAUUUAACAAGGGCAAGUUUACUCGGAUGGUAAUUGGUUUGAACCCCAAGGUUUGGGGUUCGAUUCCCCUCAUCAGUAGGAGAAAGGCCAUUUUGGGGGGACUGUAGCGGCACUGUAGCUGCUUUGACUUCACAGUAGCACGUUUGACCCGUUGACCCCGCGUUGACCAGGUGAUAUAUCGGCAAAAUCGGCACUGUAGCUGCUUUGACUUCAUUGUAGCGCGUUUGACCUGUUGACCCCGCGUUGACCAGGUCGCCGAUAUAUCAUGAGAUGUCGCCGAUUUUCGGGGAUUUCUCCCGAAAUUUCGCCAAACCAAUAUUUCUAUCGACACACCGAUAUUUCCUAAUUUCGGCAAUAUUUUCUUCCCUGGUUACAUGAGGUCACAAGUGUAUUAUCCAAAUGACAAGCAUAUUGAAUUAUAUCAUGGUAGUCUAACAUGAUUAUAAUACUAGGUUGCUCAAAUUGAGUAAAUUUUUAGAUUAAAUAAAUGUACAUAUUGAAAAAGAAAACGAUAAUAGUUCAAAAUGGUAACCAUAAUAAAAUAUUUGUAAUCUUCAUAACCCUAAAAUUAAUAAAGAUAAUAACUAUAAUUGGCUUUAGUUACCUAAAAUUAACAUAGAAAAUCUAAAAGGAUAACAAAUCUAAAAUAAUAAUGAAUCAUAAAAGAAUAAGAAAUCCAAAAAGACAAAUAGCAUAUAAGAUUAGGAAUCCUAAAAAAUAGGUAGUUACCCAUAAUAAGAAACCAAUCCAAAUUGAUAUAGAUUCUAAAUGUUGCAAAGCUCUUUAUGGUUGAAUUAGUCCCUUAGAUUGAAAAAGAACUCAUGUCUUGAGUUUUUGGUUAUUAGAAGAAUUUUUAUGAAUGGAAUAAAAAGCUUGAGAUUGGAAGCAUUCAAAUAUCAUAAAUCCUUUGAAGAAUCUCAAAAAGCUCAAUCUUUCUUAAGCUCAUUUGAAUUCUAUCUUUUAUCAUCAUGACCCAAACAAAUCACCAAUAAUUUUUUUUUUUUUUUUUUUUAUAGGUAAGAAUAGAGAGUAUAUAUAUACAAAAUGAGACACUGAUACAACGUCCUAAAGUAUACAGGAAGUAUUCACCGACCACCUAAAAGGCUCACCCAAGUGGGAGAGGGAGGGAGAGAAACAAAAAAAUCAUUUGCCCCCACUUAGAACCUAGUCAAUCAAUAAAGUUAAGAAGAGAAAUAGGGUCCAUAUCUAUAGACACCCUAGACCAAGACCACAAAUUACAAACAAAAGAAUUUUUUAUCCUUUAGAUUGAAAACUCUGCAUUAUCAAACACUAACAUCUUCUUUUCCUUCCACACCAUCCAAAAGAUACAUAAAGAGGCCACUUUCCAAGACUUUUUAUGAGCUUUACUCAUAAAGGAACCAUGCCACCCAAGUAGGAGCGUCUCCUUAACUGAAUAGGAGAGAACCCAAGCCACACCAAAGAGAAAAAAAAAGUAGCAACCAUAGAAUCCAUGUCUUUGCAUACUGACGAAGAAUGUGAUCAACAGUUUCUUCUUCAGAGUGGUAAAGAGAACAUUUGUUUGCCAAAGAAAACCCCUUCCUUUAGACUUGAUCCAAAGUUAAGGCUUUCCCUUAUGUCGCCUCCCAUGCAAAAAAAAGUCACCUUUGGUGGCGCAUAAGAUCUCUAAAUGAUACUCCAUAGGAAUAAUAAAGAGGGUCACUGGGCUCCAAAACAGAAUAGAGAGAUUUAACCAGAAGGUUCUUGCUCCUUGAAACCAUCCAAAUCACCUUAUCUUUCUCAUUCCUUUACACCCUUUUUGCUUAAAGCUUCACCCCCUUUGCCUUCGGAGUUACAAACAUCUGUCAUCCAAGCUUCCUUAGAGAUGGCUACGACAAAUAAGGAAGGGAAGGAAACACAAAAUAGCUCAUCUUCACAUCACUUGUCAUUCCAGAAUCUCACUCUUUGACCAUUUUCCACUGAGAAAGAAAUUUUGCUACUCAAAAUAUCCCACUCCUUUCUUAUGGUUUUUCAAUGGCCAACACCAUGCCUAUCUCUCACUUCACAGGAUCACCACUCCCUUUAUCUUUACCAUACUUCUAACUAAUAACUUGCUUCCAAAAUGUUCCCCUUUCAUUGGCAAAACGCUAACUCCAAUUGCAAAGGAGAGCUUUGUUCAUCACUGAUAGACACCUCACACCCAUGCCCCCUUUCUUUCUCUCCGAAUAGACUAUCUUCCAUCUUACUAAAUGAGGUUUCUACACAAGUGCCCCACUGCCUCAAAGAAAUUCCUUUGAAUCUUCUCCAAUCUUAGUCUAACUUGCCUUGACAUGCAAAUAACAUCACCAACAUCAAACACUAUCCUUUUUGUGUGUGUGUUUUCUAUCUUCCAACUUAAUGCCUUUUUGCUCAAAUAAAAUAAAUCAUGUCCUCAACUCUUAUAUUGCAUCUAAAUUUUCCUAUUGGUAAUAAAAUAAUGCUCUUUCAUUUCAUAGAUUUAAACUUAAUUUUAUUUUUGAAUAGAUGCAAGAUGUUUUUUUCUAUCCUUAGAAAAAAUGUAUGUAUUUCUCUAAUCAACGUAUACCACCUUAUUAUCAUAUUGUCAUAGCCUACCAAAUAGAAGAUGAGAUACAUACAUAGCCAUUAGCCACUACAUCCGAAUUGACAAUAAGUCUUGACAAUAUGCCAAUCCUUUCACGAAUGGAAUAAAAAGCUUGACAUUGAAAGCAUCCAAAUUGACUUGGUAACUUAAUUUCAUAAGCCUUAUCAUAAAUCUUUUUAAGAAUCUCAAAAAGCCCAAUUUUCAUGUUGUCAUGAGUAUGGAAGUAGGAGCCAAAGCUUGGAUACCAAAUCUAAUGCUACCUUACCAUAGGUAAACAAUAAAAUGUCAUUUGUAAUAAUAACUCAAAUGGAAUGUAAAACAAUCCUAACUAUAAUAAAGUAUUUGUGAUCUUCUUUAGCCCUAAAAAUAAUUGGACAAAAAUGUACAUCCUUUUUAUCUAUAUAUUCCUUUGUCGUUUCCUAUCAAAAAAAGAAAAAAAAAUGGACAAAAAUUGUAACUGUAAUUGGUUUAACUACUUGAAGUUAAAACAAAUCUAAAAGAAUGAAAAAUUUAAAAAGAAAAAUGUAAAAUUCUAAAUUAUUCUUAUUUAUAAAAAUAAAAAAAUGCAUCAGAAUAUAUAUAUAUCUAGCCUCCCCUAUUCUAGAAAAUGAUAAUUCUUGAUAUACAUGGUAAUUCAAAUCUCAUAGUAACUAAUUUACAGUUGUACCCAAAGAGUCCUAAAAGGAGAAAAGUCCCAACUAAUUUACAGUUGUAUAAGAGAAGUCUUAAAAGGAGAAAAAGUCUUAACUCAUUUAUAGCUAUGUAAGAAGAGUCCUAAAAGGAGAAAUAUCCUAAUUUUUUUUUUAUAGGUAAAGAAAAGAUCUAUUGAAAAAAGACGCUAAAAGAGCUACUCAAGGUAUACAAUAUAUAGAUGAAGGACCUCUUCCUUUAAUAAACUUUUUUGAUUGGUUGGGUUCUAGACGAGGAUUGGUGUUUUUUGUAUACUCCUUGUAUAUUUUGGGUCAGGCUUAAGGCGCCCUUUCUUCUAAUAUGUUUUUUUUCUGUGUGUUUACUUAUAAAAAAAAAAGGUAUACAAUACUUAUACACUCACCGCCAAACUGACCAAAAAGAUCAAGAAAAUAAGUGCCUAGUUGGGUGAAAAAACAACCUUAACUAGAGCCCAACCAAUAAAAAAAAACUAACUAAAGUUAGAGGGUGAUCAACUAUAAACAACUUUGCCUCUGACCAAAGAGAAAAAACAAAAAAGUAUUUGAGUAUCUAGAUCGAAAACACAUCAUUGAAGGCUAAUCUAUUUCUCACCUUUCAAACCGUCCAAAAGAUGUAUAGUGGAGCUGCUUUCCACACCUUACACUUUUUGCCCACAAAAGAACCAUGUCAACUAAGGAGAGUCUCUCUAACUGAAGAAGGUAGCACCCAAGACACCCCAAACCAAUGUAAAGAACAAAAUCCACAAGACUCUUGUUUUAGUAUAGUGAAGAAGCAGGUGGUUACACUUUCUUCUCAUAGCACAAAAAACAUCUAUUUGCCAAGGCCCACCCUCUUUUUGAAUUAAGUCCAAAGUUAAAGCUUUGCCCCACGUAGCCUCCUAAGCAAAGAAGCUAAUCUUGGGCUGCACCUACAUGUUCCAAAUGCAAUUUGAAGGAAACAAAGAAGGGCUGCCCGACUCAAGAGCAUUGUAGAGGGAUUUGACCGAGAAUUUCCCACUCUUUGUUUUAGUCCAAAACACCACGUCUUCCACAUCACCGCACACUUUCUUCCCAUGCAGCCGCCUCAAGAAGCUUUUCGCCUCCUCCACUUCCCAAUCAUUGAAGGAUCUUGAGAAACAAGGGUUCCAUUCCCCCCGACCCCCCUUAGCCAAGGGGUCCCAAAAAUCCACCACCCACACCUCCUUAUCAAUAGCUAAAUCAAACAAGGUUGGGAAUGACACACUCAAAAGGAGAAUCCCCACACUAUCUAUUCCUCCAAAAUCUCACCCUCCGCCCAUUACCUACAGAGAAAGAAAUCCUAGUACCCAUAAUGUCCCAGUCCAUCCUUAUCCAUUUCCAUAACCCAACAUGAUAGGCCUCUCUCACUUCCUGAGAACACCAACCUCCUCUUUUUUCUCCAUACUUCCCUCUAAUCCCUUGAUUCCACAAAGCCUCUCUCUUAUUUGCGAACCAACAAUUCCAUUACAAAGAAGAGCCUUAUUUAGAGUGGAAAGAGACUUGAUCCCCAACCCUCCUUUCUUCUUACUUAAGCACACCAACUCCCAUCUCACUAAAUGAGGUUUUUGCUCCAAAUUUCCACCUUUCCAAAGAAAAUCCCUUUGAAUAUGCUCUAGUAUUUGUCUAAUUGAGCUUGGCAUGCGCAACAAUGAUAUCAAAUAAAUGGGUAAAUUUGAUAACGUACUUCGAAUUAGGGUCGUCCUCCUUCCUUUGGAAAUGUAUUGUCUCUUCCACAUAGUCAACCUUCUACGAAACCACUCUUCCACUUCAUCCCAAAUUGUUAGACUUAAAUGUUGCAUCUAGAGGUAGGCCCAAAUAAGUGAAUGGGAGGUUGCCCACUCUACAACCAAAUUCCAUAGCAAGGUCAUUAAUAUUCUCCACACUACCCACUGGGAUUAAUUCUCUUUUUUCCAAAUUUAUUCUUAACCCCGACACAACCUCAAACCACAUAAGCAACCAGCUGAGAUAGGUCAUUUGAUCUUAGGUAGCUUGGCAAAACACCAAGGUAUCAUCAGCAAACAACAAAUGGGAUAUCUAAACCCCAUCUCCAUUCCAUCCUUUCAUUGUGCAACCUGACAAAAAACCUCCAUCCACUGUCUUUUUUAGGAGGCAACUAACACCUCUAUGGCAAUCACAAAUAAAUAAGGUGAUAGUGGAUCUCAUUGCCUCAAACCCCUUGACUUUGAAAGAAACCAGUAGAGGUGCCAUUAACCAACACAAAGAAACUUGUAGUGGAAAUCCACCAUUUGAUCCACUCAACCCAUUUCUCCCCAAAACCCAUUUUCUGCAUAACUGUGAGAAAAAAAAACCAGUCCACAUGGUCAUAAGCCUUCUCUAUGUCAAGUUUGCACAAGAUACCACAUUUGUUAUUCUUCAGAAAAAUCCUAAAUUAUAGGACCCAAACUUUCAACUCUCCCUCUUAAGCUGGUGAAUAGAAAUUCUUUAUUAACUUGACUAUAAUACCUUGAAACGUGGUAUUAGCUAGGCUUUAGUUAGAACAUCUACAAGUUGGUCACUAGUCCUAAUACAUGGAGUGCAAAUAAGACCACUAUUAUUUUAUCAAAAAGAAAAAGGGAAGACCACUAUUAAGCUUUUCUUUUAUGAAAUGUCGAUCUACCUCCACAUGCUUUGUUCAGUCAUGUUGUACUUGAUUAUGAGUGAUGUUGAUUACAAUUUAUUAUCACAAUAGAGCCUUAUAGGGUGUGUCAACUUGAUUUUAAGAUCAUCUAAGGAUUGUGCAUAAAUUAACUAACAAUGCUCAUAACAUGUGCAAAUGUUUGGUCUAGUAUGUGCUAAGUAAAUAGGUUUGUCCACUAGUCAUUAGUACAUGCCAUGAUCUACAAUCCCAUCCUCCAAGACCUCUCUUAAUUUGUGGUUUGUAUGCUGGCUUACAUCAAGUUUCCCGGUUUCUUUGAGAAGGUCAAUCACAUAUUUCUAUUGUGAAACAAAGAUACCUCCUUAAAAUGAGCCACUUUGAUUCCUAGGAAAUAUUUCAACCUAUCAAGCUCUUUAAUCUCAAUUUCUCUAGCUACACACUAUCGAAGAGCCUCCUAUUCUAUAGGAUCAUUAUUGUUAACAAUGUUAUCAUCCACAUAUGCUAACAUAGUUGUCGCCCCCUCUAAAGUUUAAUGCUUGAUGAACGAAGUGUGAUCACCCUAACUUUGUUUAUAUUUCAUUGCUAACAUCACUUUAGAAAAUCUCCUAAACCAUGUUUUUGGAGAUUGUUUUAAGCCAUAUAAGACUUUUUUAAAUUUGCACACCUUGGUUCUACCAAUACUUUUGCCAAAACUUGGAGGAAUUUCCAUAUAGAUCUUUUUUUCUAAAUCCCCAUGCAAAAAUGCAUUUUUUUUUUUUUUAACAUCAAAUUGCUAUAAGCUUCAACCAAAAUUAGUCGCCAACAAUAAUAACACUCUCACGGUAUUCAUCUUACCUAUGGGAGCAAAGGUUCCUUGAUAAUCAACCCCAUAGGUUAGUGUGUAGCCUUUAAUUACCAACUUAACCUUAUAUCUUUCCAAGGACCCAUUAGCUUUGUACUUAAUUGUAUAUACCUAUUUACACCCAAUUCGUUUCUUCUCCUUAGGCAGCUCUACUAUUUAUAUGUUCUGUUUUUUUCUAGGGCCUCCAUCUCAACACUUAUGGCUUGUCUCCAAUUCUCAUUGUUAAGUGCCUUGACAAGGUUUUGCGGAGUGGUUAUGAUGUACAAAUGAGUGACAACACUUUUAUGGGACUAGGAAAUCAAAUGACACAAAUAAUGACAAUAGAUGUUGUGUGCAUUGUCUUGUACCUAUCCUAAUGGAAAUGGGUAAAUUAAGAUCAUUGUCAACAUUUGAAUUAUUAGGAGAGAGAGAGAGUUAUUACCUGGCCUCAUUUCAGACUCUUGUAUGCAUGGGUUCAAUGGCAGAUGCCUUCUCCUUGAGUAAACUUGUGAUGGUUGUGUGGCAGUAGUUUUUGGACUAGUGUUAGUAGAAGGAUCUAGUUCAUUGUUUUUUGAAGAUGGGUCUAAUUCGGGCUCAUUUGGAAUAUGAAUAGAAUCGUUAGUGACAACAUUGGUUGAAUUAGGAUUUGAAGGGAUAGAAUUUAUGGGUAACAUAGGAAGGUCAAGCCAUGGGGACGAGGAAUCUUUAUAUUUCAAAGGUAAUGUCUUCCCUUGAAGAUAAGAACCUCAUAAGUAAUUUUCUUUUUUUUGCAACGGUUACAUCCAUAGAUACAUAAAACUUUUCUAGAAGGAGGGUGAUAGUAUUUGUAACCCUUUUGUGUGGGUGAAUACCCCAUAAAAACACAUCUCAAUGCCCUUGGUUCUAACUUCUCAUGAUUAUGUGCAUGAAUGUGAACAAACAAUAUCACCCAAAAACCUUUGAACUCAAUCUAUAGGUGGUAUGACAAUUAGGAAUGAAUUUUGCAAACACUUCCGUGGGACUUUUGAAUCCUAAGACUCUAGAUGAGACCCGGUUUAUUAAAUGGACAGUAGUUAAAACAACUUCCCCCUAAUAAGAUUUUGGUACGUGCUUUUGGAACAAUAAUGUUGGAGUAACACUAAGAAGAUGACCAUUUUUCCUUUCAACAAUCUUGUUUUGUUGGUUUGGAUCAACAUAAGAUGACUCAUGAAUUAUCCCCUCUUGCAUUGUCAAUUUUGACCUUUUUUUAUACAAACCCUGAAUUGAUUUUUAACCAUGGAAUGAAAGAUGGCAAAUAUAUUGCUCACUUCAAACUUUUGUUUUAACAAGGAAAUCCAUGUUACCUUUGCCCAGUCAUCAAUGAAAAUCACAAACCAUUUAGCACCAAAAACAUUCAGAACUUGAGACGGACCCCAAAUAUAUCACUAUGCACCAAAGUAAUGAAAGGAAGUUUUUGUAUUGCUUAAGGGAAACCGAACACAUUGAUGUUUGGUGAAUUCAUAGAUGUCACAAUGGAAACUAUUUAGAUCCACUGAUUUACAUAACAAAGGAAACAUAGUUUGAAGAACUCUAAAUGAGAGGUGCCCAAGACAAAGGUGAUGAAGCCAAAUUUUCCCCUUAUUGGAAGGUGUAGUUUUGGUCAAAAAGGAUAGAGAAGACUAGUUUUUUUUUUUUUUUUUGUUAACACACCCACUGGUUUUUCAAGGUAGUAAAACAUGUCCUUUGCUUUAGCAUGCUCAAUUGUCUUCCCCGUAGCUCGGUUUUGAAACACACUAAUUUUGAAAAAAGAUUACACAACAAUUUAGAUUGUUGGUUAAUAUAUUAAUUGACACAAGGUUAAUCGAAAGUUUAGGUACAUGUAACACAACUUGUAAAACAAUAGAUUGAGUGAGAUUAAUUUUUCCUUAACUAGCAAUUGUGGUAAAAGAACCAUCCACAAUAGAAAUCUUUUUGUUAUUGGGGCAAGGAUUAAAUAAAGAGAAACAAAGAGUAGACUGGAUCAUGUGGUCUGUGGCUCAAGUCAAUGACAAAUUUUAGGUCCUUAAAAUAUGAGAAAUAGAAGACUUACCUGUUUGUGCUAAAGAACACAUAUUUGACUAUUUAUCAAGAGUACUUAAAUAAAUCUAUAUAGCCGUUUUUACCUCUUCCUUGUUUAGUUCUCCAAAUUCUUUGCUGUUAAAACUAGGUUUUCUUGAGUGCUUCCUUUAUAAUUUGCCAUAUUUGCUUGACUGUGUUGUUGGCAUGCUUUAUUUCCCUCAUUCCGAUUCAGAUUCUGAGGUUUUCCAUGAAGUUUCUAGUACUUCUCUUUAGUGCGUAGGGGCUUCUUGCAAAAGGUACACCAAAGUUCUUCAUGAUUGAGAUUCUUUGACCCAUCGUAACGCCCAACUUCUCCAACCACAGUUGGGUUGAAUUUGUUUCACUUUGCAGCAACCAUGGCAGAACCAUCAAUAGAAGAAGGUUCAAGCAUCACACAUUUCCAACUUUCUUCAGCAUGAAUAAUGAAGAUGACUUCAUUCAUUGAUGGAAGUUCCUCUUUCGCUAGAACUUGGACUUGCAAUUGAUCAAACUCCACAUUGAGCCUAACAAGAAAUUCAAACAUUCGUUCUCUUUUUACAAAUUUUUUAAGCAUUAUUGCAUUUUCACUAAAUUUCAUUUGAAUGUUCUGGUAGUAGUUAAUUUCCUGCCACAAAGUCUUUAUGAUAUUGGCAUAUUCAAUUAUAGAUCUGGUUCCUUGUUUUGUAGCCAAAAUCUUCACCUUGAUUUAAAAAAUUUGAGCAAAACCUUGUACCUUUGAAUAGGUUUAUCAAAUGGGCUCCCAAAUCUCCCUAGCCAUUGUAAAAAAACAUAUGUGUUCUACUAACUUUAGGGGUCGUUGAAUUCCAUAACCAAGACAUGAUUAUGGAAUCCUCUGCAUCCCAACUCUGAAAUUUUGGAUCUUCGAGCUUUGGUCCUAUGUCAAUUAAAUAACUUAGUUUUCCUCUUCCCUUUUGAAAGGUAUGCACCAGCUGAGACCAUUGAAAAUAAUUCUUCUUAGUAAGGCAGUAAGUAGCUUGGAGGUUCUCUAGUUCCCUUGUGGUUUGGCUUAGCCUUAGUAGAACUAGUGGUACACCGAGAGCCUAGAGUUAGCUUUGAUACCAUGUGAAAUUUUGAAUUAUUCUUACUAACAAAAAUCAAGAGAUACAUCACAAUAUCUCUCCCUCUCUCUCUCUCUCUCUCUCUCUCUCUCUCUCGCUAUAUAUAUAUAUAUAUAUAUAUAGUCUCUCCUAUUCUAGGAAAGGAUAAUUCCUCAUAUAUGCGGUAACUUAAAUCAAUUCAAAUCUUCUAGUAACUAAUUUACAACUGUACACAAAGAGUCUUAAAAAGGAGAAUAGUCCUAACUAAUUUACCGCUAUACAAGAGGAGUCCUAAACGAGAAAAAGACCUUAUAAAUUUAUAGCUACAAAAGAAGAGUCCUAAAAGGAGAAAAAUUCUAAAUUAUAGGACUCAAACUUUCAACAAAAAAAACUUAAGAAUAGGAAUUCUAUAAAGAUAAGAAAGUUAGCUUAUCAGGGGAAAAAAAAAGAAGGAAUUUUGGAAAGACAUAAAAUCCAAAAAGACAAGAAACCUAAAAAUUACAAAUCCUAAAAUUAGGAUAUUACCCUCAAGGCAAUCCAAAUUGGAUAUGGAUUUGUAGUCCUGUAAAACUCCUCAUGCAUUGGGUUGUAUCACUAGUCAAGGAAUCAAAGCAAUAUUGUUUAAUGCAUUUGGAUGAUACUCUAAUGUGUUGGUUCUUUGGGCAAAUGUCAAUAUUGUCUCCAUAUAUCUGAGAAUUUAUUAGUUGAGGCAUGAUGUCACACUUGAGGUUUUCUUUACUGUUGCUGAUUGAAACUUUCUGAGAGAAAAAAAAACUUCUCUAUUUUUCUUAUUGAAUGAAAACGGAAAAAACACAAGAAUAAAUAGGGUGAGAUAUUCUCCCUUAGAAAAUAGGAACAUGUGGUUUUCUUAGGAAAAGAUUUCCAAAUUUUCAUUAUCUAAAAAUUGGUAUACAAGGCUAAUUUUUUUUUUAUUAUUAUUGGAAACGACACAAAGAUAUAUUGAUAGAAAAAAGAAGUACAAUAAGAAGGAUGAGAAAUCCUCUCUCCAAAGACAACUAAAUUACAGGAAAAUACACAGCAAACAAACGAACUCUCUAUAAAGGACCAUUCCUUAUGUAGUACACACCGCUAACCAAUCAAGUUGUAACACAUUAAGGGGAGUCCCCUUAAACGCCUUGGAACAGAAUGCCCAAAGAGAAGCAAUGAAUACAAUAGAGUCCCAAAGAAACUCUGAAUUCCUUGCUUUAUCCUCAAAAAUCCUCGCGUUUCUUUCCCACCACACAACCCGAAUUAGAGCGAUGCUCGUAGCUUGCCACAAAACUAUCCCCCUCUUAGAAGUACCAAAUCCAUUAAAUUUGAUGGACAUCAUGUCAAAGAUGCUCCUCAAGGGAACCCAAUCCAUCUUAGCUAACUGAAAUAACCUGUGUCACAACCCAAUCAUCAAGGAACAAUGAAGAAAAAGAUUAUCUGCUGAUUCCCCAUGCUUCAUGCAUAGAAUACAAAUAUCAGGACUAAGGGCUUUGUAGGGUCUUCUCACUUGUAGCAUGUCAUUAGUAUUCACCUUUUUGUGUGCCACUAACCAGACAAAGGACUUCACUUUGAAAGGAACUUGAGAAUUCCAAACGAACUUAGAAGGGAAAUCCUGAUAAGAUCCAGAAAAUUGAGAUAAAGCUAGAAAGAAGGAUUUGACUGAAAAAAGCCCUGAAGAGGAUAAUGGCCAAAAUCUGGCAUCUGGGACCGAAGGAGAUAGGUGCAAUUCAUCAAGUGACCACAUGAGGCCUUCUAAGUCCUAUAUCUCAGAAUCUGACAGGUUACGGCGGAAAUUUAAAUUCCAAGAGAAAGGACAAGUAGGACCAAGAACUGAAGAAAUAGGAAUGUUUUUAUCCACGACUACUCUAAAUAGUCUUGGUUAUUGGGUUCCCAAAGGUUGGUCUCCCCACCACAAAUCUUCCUAGAACCGAAUUCUUUCCCCAUUUCCUACCACAAACCGAGUAAAUAAGGAAAACUCCUGAAAGACUUGUGCAAUAGCCUUCCAAGGAUAGCGAUGUGACCAUCUGAUUAAAGUGUUAGCAUCCCAACCAUUGGAGUGUGAACCAUAAAUGCUUAAAAUGACCUAAUGCCAUAGAGCUGAACCCUCUCUAGGAUACCUCCACAGCCAUUUCCCUAAAAGAGCGAGAUUCCUCAAAGAAAUAUUCCCAAAUCCCAAACCCCCUAUUGCCUUCGGUUUACACACAACAUCCCACCUCACUAAAUGAUCUCUUUUCCCUUCCCCAAUCCCUGACCAUAAAAAAUCCCUUUGCAACUUCUCGAUUUUUGCAGCCACUGAGGCGGAUAACUUAAAUAAGGAAAGAAAGUAACAUGGCAUAUGGGUAAGGCAAGAUUGGAUAAGAGUUAUCCUUCCCCCGAAGGAUAAGUAGGCCUUUUGCCACCCAUCUAAUCUACUUGAGAUUCUCUCAAUCACUGGAUCCCAAAAGCCACAUGCCUUAGGGUUCCCACCCAAAGGAAGACCUAGAUAGAGUAUAGGCCAGCCGGAAGCCUUGCAAUCAAGCAUCUCAGCCAAUCUUGAAAGAUGAGCCUGAUCAAGAUUGAUGUCAUAAAUACUACUCUUGUCAAGGUUGACCUUGAGCCCAGAAAUGUGCCCAAACACUAACAACAGACUCUUGAGAGUUUGCAGAUCUUCCUCCCUUGUGUUAGAAAAGAAAAUGGUAUUAUCAGAAAUUGCAAAUGGGACACCUUAGUUCUGUUUCUACCCACCCUGAAACCCUCCAACAUAUUUCUUUCCUCUGCUCUCAUAAGCAUCCUACUCAGUACAUCUGCGACUAAAGUAAACAAAAAAGGGGAUAAAGGGUCACCUUGUCUUAAUCCUCUCGAUGCCUUAACCCACCCUUUAGUGCUACCAUUCACCAAGAUUGCAUAAGAUACCGAGGAUAAACAUCCACUCAUCCAUUUCCUCCAUCUAGGACUGAACCCCUUCUUCUCUAACACAUGAUCCAAAAAAUCCCACUUCACGUGAUCGUAGGCCUUUUCAAAGUCUAUUUUGAAGACGACACCUUCUUCCCCUGAUCGUCUUCUCUCGUCCACUAUCUCAUUCGUUAUAAGAACCGCAUCCAAAAUUUGUCUCCCUUGAACAAAAGCGCUUUGAGAAUAGUGGAUGGUCUCAUGUAGAACCCCUCUUAGACGCCCUGAGAGCACUUUGGCUAUUAUCUUGUAUAGACUAGUGAUCAAACUAAUGGGUCUAAAAUCUGAUAUUUUCUUUGUCAAACUUUUUUUGGGUAAUAGGACAAUGAAAGAGGCAUUAGUGCUUUGAUUGAUAAUUCCACUCCUAUGAAAUUCUGCGAACACUCUCACCAAAUCCUCCUUAAUCACAUCCCAACAGUCUUGGAAUACUGCAAUAGUAAAGCCAUCAGGCCCCAGAGCCUUGUCUCUAUCCAGCUGAAAAAUGGCCUUAGAAAUCUCUUCUUCAGUGAAAGGGGAAUCCGACCUUAACGUGCUCUCUUUCGAAAUAGGGGACCAAUCUAAUCCUUCAACACCCCAAGACUCUCUUGUAGGGCUCGCGUAGAGCUUUUCAAAGUAAAGUAAGAUCUCCUCUGUGAUACUCUUGGCAUUCUUCAACACUAAGCCCCUCUCAUUCUCCAACUCCUUGAUAUAUUUCCUAUUUCGCCUGCCAUUAGCCACUUUAUGAUAAAACUUAUAGAGUUACAAUCCCCUUCCUUAACCCAUUUCACCCUAGCUUUUUGUCUCCAUUGGAUUUCCUCCCUCAAAAUUAAUUCCUCCCUCAAAAUUAAUUCCUCUCUCAAAAUUAAUUCCUCUAACUCCCCUUUUCUUGAGGCUCUUUGACUUAACAAUUCAAAAGUGAGACCCCCUAUCUGCCCAAUGACAUCAAAGUUAGCUAAAUCAUUGAGGAUACUUUUUUUCUUUUCAUUAAGCUCUCCAAAAGAAAACUUAUUCCACUCCUACAAUUUGGCUUUAACAUAUUGUAGUCUGAACUUGUGGCCUUCCCAUCCGUUUCCUUGAAAACCACUCCACCAAUUUCUAAAGUUCUCCUUGAAAUUAGGAUGUUGUAACCACAUAUUCUCAAACCUAAAAGGUGUUAGGCCCCACAUAAACGGGUUGGUAUCCAAAACAAUUGGCCAGUGAUCCGAGGUCCUUCUAAUUAGGGCUUCUUGAAGGCCUUGGGGAAAGAGCAGCCCCCACUCAUUUGAGUAAAGAAAACGGUCCAGUCUCUUACACACGAGAUACUCUUGCAAAUUUGACCAAGUGAAUGAAGCGUUCCGAAGAGGUGGGUCAAGCAAUUCACAUUCUCUAAUAAAACUAUCAAAGUCCCUCAUGCUUGAAGUUAGACUAGAACCCUCCAAUUUUUCUGAACUUCUCCUUAUGACAUUAAAAUUGCUUCCCACACACCAUAACAGAUAAGUUAGACCAUAUAUGUCGAAAAGUUCCACCCAAAAAUCCUUCCUAAGUGAGGGACUGUUUGGACCGUAAACAGCGGAAAUCCAAAGAGGUCCACAACCGUCCAAAGCGAACUUGACUGAGACCGAGAAAGAUUCUAUUACCACCUCCUCACUACGCAGAUUUUUUGAAUCUCAAAUGAUCAAAAUCCCAUCUGAUGCCCCACACGCAGGAAGAGUAACCCAGUCCUUAUUUCUGAUCGUCCAGACACUACCCACAAACCUUCUGUCACACUUCUCUUUUUUUGUUUCCUGAAUCAUCACAACAUCUGGAUUCUCUAACCUAAAGAAAUCUUUAACCACCCUUCGCUUAUUCCUUGAACCCAAACCCCUGACGUUCCAGCUGAUAAUUUUCAUGGAAAAACACACAAACCCUAACCUUCCAAGCCAAAACCACCAAGUCUCAAUUACCUGUGGAGCCAUUGUUCUUCCUCCUGGAAUACACCUUAAUGUCUAGGGAGCAUAAAACCUCUCGCACUUUAGCCAUUUUCCUAGGGAACAGGCCAUCAAUAAGGAGAUCGCCCGAUGGGGAUACCUCAGUAUCCCCCUGACUACCUAACAACAGAUUGGAAUCCUCAUUAUGCGAGCUAACAUUAGACUUCCUAUGGGUAAAGCUCUCGGUCAACUGGUUUGAUAAAGCACACUGGUUCUCCUCCUCAUCACAGAUAGGGAUAUCAACAUAUUUUAAAGAGUCAACAACACCUUUUUCAGAAUUUUUUUUUGAAAUAACUUGAUUUUCUGUAGGAGAUUGAGAAAGAGAGACUGAAUUAGGGAGAUGUGGACCAGAGGGACUCGACAAAGGAGAUUCCAGACUACAAGAAGGAAAAGAAGAAGACUCGGGUGGCUGAGAAGGAGAGGGCUGACAUACCUCCAUGUUUUUUGCUCCCGGAAUUUCGCAAAUCCCCUCAAAAAUGAGUUCUUUACCUCUGAUUAUUGAAAUAGAAGGUACAACCAUGUCUGAAGAGCCACGAGGAUCGGACCCCCACUCGUCCCAUUAAACCUUCUUUGUCUUCUCCGCGGAACGCCGAGGUUUCUUCCCUCGAAAAAUUACAGUGCCUUGACAGUGGACCACGAAAGAGAGGAUUCUCUCUGAUUCCUCAUUCCAUCUUAAAUCCCGUCCCGAAAUCUACUUCCAUGUUGCGAACUUCGCUAGACAACGAUGAACCCUGUAGGAGAAGAGGCUCAUUGCUACUCUGAUGCCCCCCUGUCGGAGAUCAACGCUUGGAGGGAAGAGGGUGGACCACAUCUUCUUUGAAACUAUCGUCUCUUCCUCCUGCGUAGAGUCUCUCAUCUGAACCACGGGGGCUUUUCCCUUUCUCGCUGCGUUUUCUUUCCUUCGAGACCAGACUUCCAUACCAGAGGGCUUCGUUCCUCUUAAAUUUUGGCCCAACCCCGACGGGCCUUUUAACAUACAGCCCACGGUAGUGUCUGAUGGUGGGUUGGGGUUGGAAAGAGACUGGGCCUUUAACUCAACGACCCGACCUUCCUCUCCAAAGAUAGCGUUGACGCCGGCCCUCUCAUUGCCUGGACAAAGCAGCGCGAUCGCCUUUGCAAAGGAACCAACUCGCUGGGCAGAUGGAGAUGAUGCCGCUUCAGUCUGGUGGGCUUGAGGAGCUUCUGGGCCAGCGUGAAGCCCACGAAUCCUCAUCCCACUUUGGGUUCUUUCAGGCUGGACUUUAAAAGAAAGCUCAAGCAUUGUGGGCCCAAUAAAAUUUUCUUCUUUUGGGCCCAAGCUACGCCUUCCCCUUCCAUUCUCCUUUUUGGCCGCCAAACUUUUACUUGAGCGUCGAUAACGUGCUCGGGGAAGAAGCCUCCUUUUGUAGCACUCAUUGUCCCUAAUUCUACCUCAUAGCCCUUCUGCAAUUUUUGUCAACUGAGAGACGCAACCUCCCGCUUUCACCCACUCGUUCCUGCUACGAGUUGUCUCGGACGUGACAGCACCUCAAGCAACGCUGGAAACACGACAUUUGGAAGCAUCUCCACCCACAGCUUCACCUUCGUCAAGUUCAACAGCUUCAAAGUUUCCUUUGCCACCUUCGUUACCCUCCCCCACUUCUUCAAAAUGAAUUUUAGUUGAACUUCAUCGCACAAGUGAAAAGGGAGACCUUUCAAUACUAACCAACCCCUCCUGAAUUUUCCGUGAACAACCCAAUUUUCUCUAGGCGACCAUUUCCUUAGGAAAACAGGCCUUCCUUUCACUAAAAGUCUUCCCUGUUCAUGAACCCAUUCUGCUCUCCUUGUUGAACUCACAAAGAAACACCCCUUGAAAGCGGAAAUGGGAUUUAUAGACACCAUUCCUUUCAUACCCAUCAUCCUCGCGAUGGAUUUUCCUUCGUGAGUCCAGUCUUGGACUUUUUCUUGGCAUUCACAUAUUACAGCUCUGGCCCAUUUUCCAGCUGACAACAUACCUCCAGUCCUAAAUCCAUCCUCUGCCACCACUUCUGUGUAUGACCGGCCCCCUUUGUACAUGUCCUUAUUCAUCUGAAUACCUCCACACUUCUCCUUCGAAGCUCCUCCGACUUGAUCAAGAUACUCUUGCACUGAUAGGAUCGUCUUCCUAAGAUCUUCCCACCCAUUGCCUUUAACGCCCUCGGGGACGACAAGAAGUAAAGGUUUCCUUUUUGUAACAAUUUCUGUAAUUUUUAUGAAUCGCCCUCUAUUAUUGAAACAAAUCUCCAUCAAGUGAGUCUUAGUCUUGCCCCUAAUCUUUCGUAGAAAUCCCUUAGAAGCCUCCAACUCCAUGGCUUUCUUCAAAUGCUCCGUCAACCAAUCCAGCUCCUCAUUUCCAAAUCCUAUUGAUACUACGAAACCUCGACUCCUUUCUGUUACUUAUACCCAAAUUUCGCCAUUCGAUCCUUCAAACUCUACCUGAAAAGACUUUUUCUCCACUACAAACCUUUUAACUUUGCACUUCAUCAUGUAAAACUGACAGACUGUUAUAAAUCCUUCAGUUCAUCUUCAGGAUUUCAUGAAAAUAUAUUUAACGAUAUCUUAAAGUCUCACUAAGGCUUUGUUGGAGUCAUACUCCCAUAUAGAACAAAAACAAUGUAGUCUCACACUUGACUCAAUCACUCAUUAUCCUACCCCAUUGGAUUCCUCCCAUACUUUCACAACCCAUGCAUCUUAGAACCAACAAUAGAGAACAAAACAGAGAAAGCUAUACUCAAGGGCAAGUCAGCACACAAAGCAGAUGAAUUAUCCAAAAUUAAACUAGUAUACAAGACUAAAUAUAUACACAGUAUUGUUAAGAAUAAAAAAGGGAAAUUGAGACUAUCAGCUAGACUAUGAGGACUAACAUAUCUCUAUAGCUAAUACACCUAAUUUCCUAUAAUACCCUGAAUAAUAAAUCAAAUCAGCCAACUAAUAUACAAUUAUAACCAAAAACUCUAAUUAAGGAAAAAAGAUUCUUGACCGAUUCUUUACACUCCUCCUCAAGCUGGAUGGUAGAUAUCUUCCAUUCCUAACUUGCUUAUGAAAUCCUUGAAUUGAUGUCCAGUAAGCCCUUUUGUUAAUAUAUCUGCUACCUGAUUACUUAAAGAAACAUGAGACAAGUUUAUAAGCCUAACUUCUAUCUUCUCUUUGAUAAAAUGUUGAUCAAUCUCCGCAUGCUUGGUUCUAUCAUGCUGAACUGGGUUAUAUGCAAUACUAAUGGCAGCUUUAUUAUCACAAUAGAGCUUCAUUGGUAUCAUCAGGGGCAUUCUCAAUUCACACAUCAAUGACUUUAGCCAAAUAAGUUCACAGAUUCUAAGAGCCAAUGCUUUAAAUUCAGCUUCCGCACUAGACCUCGCAACAAUUGCUUGCUUCUUACUUCUCCACGUUAUUAGAUUCCCUCCUAGGAAUGUACAAUAAUCUGAGGUAGACCUUCUAUCAUCUAUAGAACUUGUCCAAUCAGCAUCAGUGAAAGCUUCCACAUCUAAACUCUUGUCUUGUUUAGAGAAUCAGAGUCCUUUUCUAGGAGACCCUUUGAGAUAUCUCAAGAUUCUAAAUAUUGCUUGUAGAUGAUCUUCUUUGGGAUUGUGCAUAAAUUGGCUUACUAAACUGACAGCAAAGGCAAUGUCUGGACGAGUGUGUGAGAGGUAAAUUAACUUCCCCACUAGUCUUUGAUAACCUUCUUUAUCAACCUCCUUACCUCCUAUAUGAGUACGCAUCUCGAUGUUCACAUCUAUUGGGGUGUCAAUAGGUUUGCAUCCUAACAUGCUUGUCUCUUUAAGAAGAUCUAAAACAUACUUCCUUUGAGACAGGACAAUUCCCUUUCUUGACCGAGCUACUUCAAUACCUAAGAAAUAUUUGGAAGUUUCCUAAGUCUUUGAUUUCAAAUGACCGUGCCAAAGCUUUCUUCAAUCUUAGCAUCUUUUUUUCAUCACUUCCUGUGAGGAUAAUGUCAUCAACAUAAACUAUCAAAAUAGUUAUUUUACCACUGCAAGACUGUUUGUAAAACAUCGUGUGGUCGGUUUGCCCUUGAGUAUAUCCCAUGCUUUCAUUGAUUGAGUGAACUUUUUGAACCAAGCCCUUGGCGAUUGCUUCUAACCAUACAAAGAUUUCUUCAGCCUACACAUUUUUCCUCUACCCAAUUGAUCUUCAAAACCCGGCGGCAACUCCAUGAACACCUCUUCUUCCAAGUCACCAUGUAAGAAGGCAUUUUUUACAUCAAGUUGUUGUAGAGCCCAAUCCAUCUUUGUUGUAAUAGAUAGUAGAACUCUCACUGUAUUCAUCUUUGCUACUGGGGCAAAGGUCUCCUGGUAGUCAAUACCAAAUGUUUGGGUGUAACCUUUAGCCACUAGUCUUGCUUUAUGUCUUUUUAUGCUUCCAUCUGCUUUGAACUUGACUGUGAACACCCACUUGCAUCACACUGGUUUCUUUCUUAUUAGAAGUUUAGUAACUUCCCAAGUAUGAUUUUUAAAGAGAGCUUUCACCUCUUCAUUAACUGCUUCCUGCCAUUUUGGAACCCGCAUUGCUUCAUGAAUAUCACGAGGAAUACUAACAUGAGACAGAUUAAUGGCAAAUGCUCUAAAUGAGCCCUUUAGAGCACCAUAGGAAACAAAUUGAGCAAUAUGAUGUUGUGUACAGGAUCGACUAGAUUUUUUGAGAGCAAUAGGUAAAUCUAGAUCAUCAAACAAGGGUUGAGGAGUUGGAUUUACCUAAGUGUUAGGCUCUAUCUUAGGAGUUGAAGAUUAACUCUCCACUAGAGGAGAUGGAUUUCUUCCUCUUCUCCUAGAAUAUGUAAUGCACUCCUUCUCCUUCUCAAUUUUUUCUUCUGGCUCUCUUUUUUCCUUUUUUUCUUCUUCAACUGAAAUAUUUUCAAUAAUUCCUCCAAUUUCUCCUAUCUCAAGAAUUCCUCCAAUUUCUCCUAUCUCUUCCCCCAACUCCUUUCCUUGGGAUACUUCCUAAAAAUUCUCUUCUCCUCUAAUCUCCCCCUGAAGAGAAUUUUAGGUGUUGUAAGGCUGAUUUUCAAAGAAAAAUACAUCCAUAGACGUAAAAUACUUUUGUGAUCGUGGGUGAUAACAUUUAUAGCCUUUCUGAGUUGGGUGAUAUCCAAGGAAAAUGCAUUUAUGUGCCCUAGGAUCAAACUUGCUACGAUAGUGGCCAUGGAUAUGGACAAAAACUGUGCAACCAAAAACCUUAAGAGUUAGGGAUGAAGACAAAUGAUGAGAGGGUGGAAAACAUUGUUUUAGGGUAUUUAUGGGAGUUUCAUAUUUUAGGACACAGGUUGGCAUUCUAUUGAUCAAAUAGGAUGCUGUCAAAAUAGCUUCUCCCUAGAACACCUUUGGAACAUCAUGGCACGGGCAACUUCAAGAAGGUGAUGAUUUUUUCUUUCCGACACUCCAUUUUGUUGUGGAGUGUCAAUACAUGAUGAAUGAUGAAUGAUUCCUUCUUUUUGUAGAUACUUUUCUAGAAUAUUUGAGUAAUACUCUCUCCCAUUAUCCGUGUGAAGGAUGUUAAUGCUGGUUUCAAAUUGAUUUAAGAUCAUCUUGUGAAAUUGUUUAAACACACCAGCAGCUUCAGACUUUUCUUUCAACAAAUAUACCCAACACACUCGUGUGAUCAUCAAUGAAUGUUAUAAACCAACGAACUCCAGCAUUAGUUUUAACAUGAGAGGGUCCCCAAAUAUCACCAUGAAUUAACAUGAAAGGACAAGAUUUUUCAUAAAUUUGAAUGGGAAAAGAAGCCUUAUGGUGUUUAGCAUACUCACAAUUCUCACAUUUAAAUUGAGAAAUAUCUUUAUUCUUGAAUAGACUAAGAAACAACAAAUUUAGAUAAGAGAAACUAGGGUGUCCUAGACUACAAUGCCACAACCACACUUCUUUAUUCUCUGCUAUACUACUUUCAGCUUGAUACACCUUUUUUAUUUCAUCACCUUGCAUUUUUUCUUUUAAGAGAAAUAGUCCAUCAGCCUCCCUAGCACUACCAAUCUUCUUCCCCGUACACAGAUCCUGAAAAACACAAUGGUUUGGGUGAAAAUUAGCAAUGCAGUUCAAGUCUUUGGUAAGUUUGCUAAUGGACAAGUUAGGCACAUGUAAUACAGAUUUAAGACUCAGGCUCUCAAAAAUUUGAACAAUGCCUAUUCCUUUUACUUUAGUUAAGGAACCAUCAGCAAUUUUUACCAUUUGAGUCCCAUUAAAAGGAGUAUAAGAACAAAACAGACUUGAAUUCCCAGUCAUUUGAUCGGUUGCUCCUGAAUCUAAUCCAAGAGUCAGAUUUCAAGUACUUAGUAGAAAGGGUUGUACUAAAAUUACCUGAUUGGGCCAAAUUUGCAGAGGUAAUAUUUUGGGAAUUUUGGAAUAUAAACUUAUAGAAUUGCUCAAGUUGCUCCUUGGUAGGGUUUGGAACUCCAGUAUCUCCUUGCUUUGGCUGUUUUGAAAAAUCUGCUAUUGCUUGGAAGCCUCAGCCCCCCCACUUGAUGCUGGGUUUCGGCCUCGUCCUUCACCACCUUUAUUCCAACCACAAGCUUUUCCAAAGUUCUGGGGUAAAUUCACUGGUCUCCCAUGAAUUUUCCAGCAGUUAUCUCGUGUGUCGUGGUUUUUGGCAAUGGUUGCACCACAAACUAUCUUUGUCAUCCUUCUUCCCUGCAUUUUUCCCUGCAACAUAGACCGAAUUUGCUCCAAUAUUUUUGUUUCCUACAGUUGGCUGAUUUGCUGUUGAUAAUGCAGAUGUUUCAGCUGUUGUUGAUUUUAGUCCACUCAUCAUAAAGCCUAUGUGACUCUCUUCUCCUUAUCGAGUUGAAGACCUCCCAAAGAGAUGGAAUGGGCAAGCUACUCAAAAUCCUGCCCCUUUCUUGAUCAAAUUCAAAUCGCAAACCAGAAAGAAAUUUAAAGACUCUUUCCUUUUCAAUCAACUUUCGAUAAGUGGCAUGAUCCUCCAGGUUUUUCCACAAAAUAUCCUGGUACAAAUCGAUUUCUUGAUACAAAAUAUUUAAAGAAUUGAAAUAGGCCAUUACCGACAAGUCUCCUUGCUGAAUUGCCCUUGCCUUCUCACUCAACUAAUAGAGUUUAGAAUCAUUUCCCAGAUUUGAGUACAUUUGAUUAGCUGCAUCCCAAAUCUCCUUUGCUGUGUUGUAAAGUAUAUACCCUUGGCUGAUUUCUGGCUCCAUAGAAUUGAUCAACCAAGCCAUCACCAUUGAGUUUUCAACAAACCAGGUUUGAUACCCAGCUUCUUUGGGCAAAACAGGCUUGUGUGUGCAAUCCAAAUACCCCAUCUUGCCUCUACCACUUGUGAAGAAUCUUACUGAUUGUGCCCAUCGAAGAAAAUUUUCUCCGUUCAGUUUAUGGGUUGUUAUUUGAAUCGCUGGGUUUUCAAUCAAAGAGGGAUUUGAACUGGUCACCAACUUCUCUCCUACCUCAGAUCCUUUCUCUACCAUCUCUUUUUCAGGAAGAUGACGAUAUCACUCACUCUUUGGCCAAAUAUUCGGCUCUGAUACCAUGUGGUUUUCUUAGGAAAAGAUUUCCAAAUUUUCAUUAUCUAAAAAUUGGUAUACAGGGCUGAAUAUAUACACAGUAUUGUUAAGAAUAAAAAAGGGAAAUUGAGACUACCAGCUAGACUAUGUGGACUAACGUAUCUCUACAGCUAAUACACCUAAUUUCCUAUAAUAUCCUGACUAAUAAAUCAAAUCAGCCAGCUAAUAUACAAUUAUAACAAUCAGCCAACUAAUAUACAAUUAUAACCAAAAACUCUAAUUAAGGAAAAAAGAUUCUUGAUCGAUUCUCUAGAACAUAAAAGCAAACAAGUCUUGUCCACAAUAUUCGAAUAAUGAAUUUGAAUNNNNNNNNNNNNNNNNNNNNNNNNNNNNNNNNNNNNNNNNNNNNNNNNNNNNNNNNNNNNNNNNNNNNNNNNNNNNNNNNNNNNNNNNNNNNNNNNNNNNUAAUGAAUUUGAAUUUUAAAUAAAAAACGUAAUCUAACAACCUAACCAUUCAAAUUCAUUAUUCGAAUAUUGUAGACAAGACUUGUUUGCUUUUAUGUUCUAGAGAAUCGAUCAAGAAUCUUUUUUCCUUAAUUAGAGUUUUUGGUUAUAAUUGUAUAUUAGUUGGCUGAUUGUUAUAAUUGUAUAUUAGCUGGCUGAUUUGAUUUAUUAGUCAGGAUAUUAUAGGAAAUUAGGUGUAUUAGCUGUAGAGAUACGUUAGUCCACAUAGUCUAGCUGGUAGUCUCAAUUUCCCUUUUUUAUUCUUAACAAUACAAAGUUAGGUCAUAGGAGUCUCUUGGUUAGAAUGUGAAGAAACUAAGAAUAAUACAAUUGUACAUUCAAUCAUAUAUAAUUUACAUAAUCGGGUCCCUAUUUAAUGUAUACACAUAGAGCAAAAUAUGGAAAUAUAAAAAUCAAACCAAACAUUUAGCCUAAAUAUCAGAUCUAAUUGGGGCCUCAAUCUUCUACCACAAUAUCCUCCAAAUCACCCCCAAAUCAUAUGGGAUUUCCACACUCCCGUUCAAGUUGGAUCAUAGAUAUUGAUCAUGUCCAACUUGUAAAUAAAAUCUUCAAAGCUAAAUCUCUGUAACCCCUUGGUGAAUAUAUCUGCCAAUUGUUCCCUUGUAGGGAUAUAAGUCAUGCAAAUCGUCCCCUUCUCAAUUUUCUCCUUUAUAAAGUGUCUAUCCAUUUUUAUAUGCUUGGCCUUGUCGUGUUGAACAAGAUUAUGAGAAAUACUAAUGACAGCUUUGUUGUCGCAAUAGAGUUUGAUGGGGAACUCUACUGUAAUGUGUAGUUCUUCCAACAAUUUUUGCAACCAUAGUCCUUCACACAUACCUUGUGCAACUGCUUUGAAUUCAGCCUCAGCACUGCUUCUGGCUACUACACUCUGCUUCUUACUUCUCCAUGUUACUAGAUUUCCUCAGAUAUAGGUACAAUAGCCGGUAGUAGACCUUCUAUCUUCUGAUGAUCCCGUCUAAUUUGCAUCUGUAUAGAUCUCUACCUUCUUAUUGUCACCCUUCUUAAAGAAUAGUCCUCGCCUUGGAGAACCCUUUAGAUAUCUGAGGAUCUUAUACGCUGCUUCCAGGCAACUUUCCUUUGGUGAAUGCAUGUGUUGGCUAACCACGCUUAGGACGAAAGCAAUGUCUGGUCUAGUGUGAGAAAGGUAGAUCAGUCUACCUACUAGUUGCUGAUAUCUCUCUCUAUCCACGGGUUUUUCGUCGCUUUCCGUCCUUUUUCUUGCCUUGAUAGGGGUAUCGCUUGGCUUGCAACCAAGCAUGCUAGUCUCAGUCAGCAAGUCAAGUACAUACUUUCUCUAGGAGAUACUAAUUCCCUUCCUUGAUCUGACAACCUCCAUUCCUAGGAAAUAUCGCAUUUGACCCAGAUCUUUUACCUCAAACUCUAUGGCUAAGACCUUCUUCAACCUCUCCACUUCUCCUGUGUUAUCUCCAGUGAGAAUGAUGUCAUUGACAUACACGAUUAGGAUGGUCAUCCUUCCAUCGUUGGACUAUUUGAAGAACAUAGUAUGAUCCGACUGUCCUUGUUGGUAUCCUUGGUUCUUAAUCACCUUUGCAAAUCUAUCGAACCAUGCUCUCGGAGAUUGCUUGAGACCAUACAAAGAUUUCUUCAAUUUGCAUACCCUGGUUUCUUCUUCCUUACAAAACCUUGGUGGUAGCGUCAUAAACACUUUUUCUAGUUCACCAUUCAAAAAGACAUUCUUAAUAUCAAACUGAUGGAGUGGCCAGUCUAGGUUUGCUGCCAAGGAUAAGAGAACUCGUAUAGUGUUCAGCUUUGCCAUUGGUGCAAAUGUCUCAGUGUAGUCGAUGUCGUAGGUCUGAGUGAACCCCUUUACAACCAGGCAGGCUUUAUAUCAUUCUACUAUGCCAUUCGCCUUGUAUUUCACUGUGAAUACCCAUUUACAGUCCACUGGUUUCUUCCCUCUUGACAAAGUCAUCACUUCCUAAGUCCCAUUUUUUUCCAAUGCCCUUAUUUCUUCCAUCACUGCCUCUCUCCAUUCUUGAAUCUCCAAGGCUUCUUGAAUGUUUUUAGGAAUCUGGAUUCUAUCAAGGUUAGUUGUAAAAGCACGACACUUUGCAGAAAGAGCAUUAUAAGACACAAAUUUCGAGAUAGGAUGAAGAGUACAUGAACGAGGUUGCUUCCUAAGAGCAAUGGGUAAGUCAUUCGUUACCUGAUCAGGAUUGGAGCCAGACUCUUGAGGGGUUGGAACUAUCACAAGUUCUAACUUUUUUAGUGCUUUGGAGGUGAGUGUCUCAUUGGACUUCGAUUUUGGCCUUUUUGAGUAGAUGAGUAUUUCCUUAUUUGUCUGUAUUUCCGUAUCUCCCCCUGAGUUCAAGUGUCCUUCUGUAUUAGGCGAAGAGGUAGAUAUAAGGUACAGAGUGGAUUCGAACACAGCAACAUCGAGGUAGUCUAAGGUUAAGGGUGGUCUAGCUUCACUCACGGACUCCCCCUGAAGCGAGUAGUAGAGAGUAUGCUCAAAGAAGGUGACAUCUAAGCUAACAUAUAGCUUCUAUGAAAUUGGGUCAUAACAUUUGUAGCCCUUUUGUGUGGAAGAGUAGCCAAGGAAGACACAUUUAAGCGCUUUGGGAUCCAAUUUGUUCCGCUUGGGUGCAUGAGCGUGGAUAAACACAGUGGACCCAAAGACAUAAAGUGGAAGAUGUGCACCGUGUCUAGAAUGGGGAAAAAACUCUUAGAAUUUUUGGAGAGGUGUGAUUAAAGAUAGGACCCGACUAGGCAUUCGGUUAAUAAGGUAUGUGGCUGUCAAAAUGGAGUCACCCCAAAAUUGCGAGGACAUGUGAGAGGUAAACAACAAGGCACGAGCAACUUCAAGAAUAUGUCUAUUUUUCCGUUCUGCAACCCCAUUUUUCUUGAGGGGUGUCAACGCAAGAACUUUGAUGGAUAAUACCAUUUUCUUGUAGAUAAGUGCUCAAGGAGUGAUUGAAAUACUCAGUACCAUUAUUAGUACGAAGAAUUUGAAUUUUGGUAUGAAACUGAGUUUGUAUCAUAGAGUGAAAGUUCAUGAAGACUGAUCGAACCUCAGUUUUAUUAGUCAACAAAUAUACCCAACACAGGCAAGUGUGAUCAUCAAUAAAAGUAAUAAACCAUUUUUUAUGGGUCCCAUAGAUCACUAUGAAUCAGAGUAAAUGGUAUGGAUGGUUUAUACUUAGAUUUAAGAAAAGAUGCACGAUGGUGUUUGGCAAGUUCACACACUUCACACUGAAAAUCCCAUGAAGCUUUAUUUGAACAUAGUGAAGGAAAUAAAUGUUGCAAGUACUGAAAACUAGGAUGACCCAUCCUUUUGUGCCAUGAAAAAAGUUCACUUUCCCUAGAACUAGAUGCAGAAUUACAAACAGUAGGAGGACACUGUCCACUCACAUUAGUUUCGUCAAAAUAAUAUAGCCUCUCACGUUUCUUAGCACUGCCAAUCGUCUUUCCCGAUGAUAGGUCCUGAAAGACAAUGAGAGGGUAGGAAUUUAGCUGAACAAUCAAAUUGUUUGGUUAACUGGCUAAUAGAUAGCAAAUUGCAAGAUAAAUUAGGGACAUAUAGGACAAGGUUGAGAGUGAUAGACUCAGAAAUGCGAAUACUCCCUUUGCCAACAACUAGGGAUAAAGUACCAUCUGCAAUUUUUACUUUUAAAUACUGGCACAAGGAAAGUAUGUAGAAAAUAAAUGAUGAGCAUCGGUCAUAUGAUUAGAUACACCAAAGUCAAUAAUCCAAGGAGUAAUAUGAGACGUGGUGCUAAGUGCUGUCAGAAAGGUACCUUUGUGGGCUUAAGAACCAAAGGACAGAGUAAUAGAAAACUGACCAGAGGCUUGGAAAUUAGAAAAAAACUCAUAUAAUUUCGCAAGCUGGUUGGAAUUAAACCCCACACUAGAAGCUGACCGAUGAUUUUCUAUAGGUGUUUUGUCCGCCUGGGUUUCGGUGGAGGCCUGAUGAGUAUGGGCUUUAUUGGGCUGUCUAGGCUUCCAAUCCGUGGGCUUGCCAUGUAAAGUCCAACAAGUGUCUUUAGUGUGGCCCGUUUUCUUACAAUGCUCACAGGUAGUCCUCUUAGAUUGUCUUGGGCCAGGUCCAACGUGAGGCCCACAGGUUACAAGUGUUGAAGCCUCAGGCCCAGAAGUGAUAUGUUCUCGUAACAUCACUUUCCUUUUGCUUUCCUCACGUCACACCUCAGAGAAGACCUCUCAGAUGGAGGGCAGCGGUCGGUGACUGAGAGCUCUGUUCCUAACGUUGUCAAGCUCACGGUUCAGCCCCGUCAGAAACUCAAAGACUCUCUUGUUCUCCAUCUUCUUCUUGAAUCGCACACUGUCACCCGUGCACUCCCAUUCCUUUUCGCAGCUGAGAUUGAGUUCUUGCCACAAACCCAACAUCUCGAUGUAGUAUUCUGUGACUUCCCGAUCUCCUUGCUACAUCUACCAGAGCCGCGUCUUGAGUUCGUAGAUUUGGGAAGCAUUCUCGCCAUCGGGUAUGUUUCCCAUAUCGUAUCCCACACAUCCUUUGCCGUCGGGAGGAACAUGUACGUUUUGCCAAUGACUGGCUUCAUGGAGUUGAUCAAGCAUGAGGUGAUGAAGGAGUUUUCGGACUGCCAUUUCUAGGAUGUUGCUGCUGCAUCGGUCAGAGGUGGUCGUCGAGUCUCGCCAGUAAGAAACCCGAGCUUUCCCUUUCCAUCAAUAACAAGCUUGAUUGCCUGUGCCCACUCUCUGUAAUUCUUACCGUUCAAAUUUUCAACGAUAAGAUGGAGUGGGGAGUUGUCGAAUGCACCGGUCGAGCCCAUGGAGGAGAUUAUCUCCAACUCUCCUUCCUGGGUUGUCGAUUGACUGCACUCAUGGUUGUCUCCUUUUUGGGCAGCCAUAGAUUGAUUAGGGUUUUAGAGCAACCCGAGCUUUGAUACCAUGAAGAAACUGAGAAUAAUACAAUUAUAUAUUCAAUCGUAUAUAAUUUACAUAAUCGGGUCCCUAUUUAACGUAUACACAGAGAGCAAAAUAUGGAAAUAUAAAAAUCAAACCAAACAUUUAGCCUAAAUAUCAGAUCUAAUUGGAGCCUCAAUCUUCUACCACAAUAUCCUCCAAAUCACCCCUAAGUCAUAUGGGAUUUCCACAGAAUGUUUCCUAUUUGUUGCGCUGUUGGAACAAAAGGCAAUCAAAUAACACCAGCCUCAAGUUUCUCCUUUAUAAAAUGUCUAUAAAUUUCAACUUGUUUGGUCUUAUUGUGCUGUACUAGAUUGUGUGCAAUGCUGAUUGUUGCCUUAUUGUCACAAUACAAUUUUAUAAGAUGAUUAGUUAAUCUCUUUAGAUCCUUUAGGAUCUGUUUUAGCCAUAACACCUUGCAUACUCUAUGUUUCAUUGCACUAAAUUCUACUUUAGCACUACUCCGGGCUACAACACUUUAUUUCUUGCUUCUCCAAGUUGCGAUGUUUCCCAACACGAGUGUGUAGUAUCCCAAAGUGGAUCUUCUAUUUGUAACUGAACCCGCCUAGUCUGCAUUUGUGUAUACUUCAAUAUUUUGUUAUAUAUUUUUUUUAAACACUAGUCCUUUCCCAGGGGUGCCUUUUAGGUAUCUUAAGAUCCUAUAACUAGCCUUAAGAUGUUCUUCAUAUGGUGUGUGCCUGAACUGAAUCACAACACUAAUCACGAAUGCAAUGUUUGGUCGAGUAUGCGACAAGUAUAUCAACUUCCCAUUAAUUUUGGUAUUGUGUUAUAUCAAUUGGAACUCCUUCAAUUUGUUCUCCAAGCCUCUGAUUGGGAUCCAUCAAGGCAUCUAAAGGCUUGCAACCACUCAUCCCUAUCUCAUUCAAAAGGUUGAGAAUAUAUUUUCGUUGUGACACAACUAUUCCAUUUUUUGAACAUGCAACUUCCAUCCCAAGAAAGAAUCUUAAUAUGCCUAGAUCUUUAAUCUCGAAUUCAAACCCCAAGCAUUGUUUCAAUUUGUUCAUCUCCACCAAAUCAUCUACAGUUAAAAUAAUAUCAUUCACAUAGACUAUUAAAACUGCUAUAUUUCCUUUAGUUGAGAAUUUGAAGAACAUGGUAUGGUCCCUAGGUAUAUAUAGCCUUGUUUCUUCACUAAACGAGUGAACUUUUCAAACCAGGCUCUUCGUGAUUGCUUUAGCUUGUACAAUAAUUUUUUUAGCUUGCAAAUCUUUGAUUCAAAUUUCUCCCCAAAGCCAGGAGCUGCAUCCAUGUAGACAUCCUCUUCCAAGUCUCCAUUGAAAAAGACAUUUUUAACAUCCAGCUGUUGUAGGGGCUAAUCUAAGUUGGAAGUAAUUAUAAAGUCUCAAAAGUCUUGAAACCUUUGUUGCAUUGUGUUCAAUUUUGCAACAGUUUCCAAAGUCUUGAAAUAAUCGAUGCCAUAAGUUUGGGUGAAGCCUCUUGCCACCAGUCGAGCUUUGUACCUCUCUAUUGAAUCAUCUGAAUUAUAUUUCACUAUGAACACCCGUUUAUAAUCAACAAUUAUCUUUCCUUCUGGCAGAUUCACCAUUUCCCAAGUUCAAUUCUUCUCAAGAGCCCUCAUCAUCUCAAAAACAGCUUCCUUCCAUUCAAGAACAUUUAGAGCAUCCUGUACAUGCUUAGGAAUCUCUACACUAGAGAUUUGUGAGAUGAAAGUACAAAAAGAAGAGGAUAGAUUUUUGUUAGACACAAAAUUAGAUGUUGGAUCUUUAGUGCAAGAUCUAGAUCCUUUUUUCCAAGCAAUAGGAAGAUUAAGAUUAUCAAGUGAAUCAGGAUAUGAAGGAUUCAACUCAAAUGGAGUUUUACCUGACACACUAGUUGAAUUCGGAUCUGAUCCCGGGUUAGAGUCAUGUCAUUGUUGCAGAGUUUUGUUCUUUUUCCUUUGCGUUUGGUUCUUCCUUGAGUAAACAAUAAGCUCAGGACUUUUAUUAGUUGUUUCUGUACUAAUUUCUGCUUCCUUUUGUUGAUUCAAUGGCAUUAAGGAAGGUUGUUCAUUUUCACUACGUUAGCACACUAUUCUCUAUAUUUUUUGAAGUGACAACUGGACCAGGUUUGGGUUCUGGACUUUCUGGAUUCCUUGGAGACUUGGGUUCGAGACUUUCUUGAUUUCUUGGAAUUGUGGUUAUCAAGGGUAAAACUGGGGCUGAUUGGUGUAGGUAAAAAACGUUACCUGAAUCUUCAUUCUCAUUCUCCCCUUGAAGAUGAGUGUUACCAAAAUAUGAUUUUGAUUCAAGAAAUGUCACAUCCAUGGUUACAAAAAAAAAAUUCGUGAGGGGAUCUAAAUCACUUAUAUCCUUUAUUUUUUUUGGAGAAUGUCCCACAAAGACACAUUUCCUAGCUGUUGGAUCAAGUUUUCCUCAAUUAUGAUUAUGAAUACGAACAAAAGCAAUGCAUCCAAAAAUUUUCAUAUGAAUAUUUGAUGAAAUUCUUGAUGUGGGAUAACAAUUUUUGAAAACCUAUGAUGGUGUUUGGAAUUUAAAACUCUUAUUGGCAUGAUUAAUCAAAUAAGUAGCUGUUAGAAUUGCUUCACACCAUAGGUACUUUGGAACCUUAGUUGAAAACAUUAAGGACCUUGGACCUUCUUAAAGGUGUUUAUUUUUUCUUUCAGCUACUCUAUUUUGUUGUGGAGUAUCAUUACAAGAGCUUUGAUGCACAAUACCAUUUUCCAAAAAAUAUUUUCCCAAAAUCUUUUUUUGAUAGUGACACGAAAUAUGGGAUGAAAAAAGGUUUUGUCUAUUAGAUUGACUAUACACACAAUUUAGAUAGGAGAUUUUAAGAGAAGAAAUAGGAAACAAGAGACAUAAUAGGAAACUAACUUAUUCCUAAAUCAUAAAACUAUCUAUUUACAGAAAUAGGAAACUAAUAAAACUAUCUAUUUAUAGAAAUAGGUGUUGAAAGAGAGAGAGAGAGAAAAAAAAAAAAACCUUAAUUCUCAUUUAUUUGAUUAACUUCUUACAAUAGAGAAAUAUAUAUACAAGGCUAGGUUGAACUAACUACUAUAUAUGUGACCUAUAUUAAGAAAGGAAAGAAAGAUUGUACACUAUAAAUACAUUAUAAUCAACAAUAGGAAACUAACAUAAUAGGAAAAUAAUUCUCCUAUUCUACUUACAGCUCAACACUCCCCCUCAAGCUGAGGAAAGAUGUCUAUCAUUUCCAACUUGAAUACAAGAUCGUGAAACAUUGAACUGUUCAGCCCUUUUGUUAGGAUAUCAGCUGAUUGAUAUGGAACAUAAGACAUACACACUACUCCUUCCUCCAAUUUUUCUUUGAUGAAACGCCUAUCAAUCUCAAUAUGUUUUGUCCUAUCGUGUUGUAUAGGGUUAUGAGCAAUAUUGAUAGCUGACUUGUUGUCACAAUAAAACUUCAUAGGACCAUCCCACUUGAUUCUCAAAUCAUCUAGAAUAAUCUUCAGCCAAAGUAGU
rnacentral:lncRNA from 1 species